rnacentral:lncRNA from 1 species
UAGGCUCACAUUUCGGACGUCUCGGUCCUGGCCUUUUUGUGAACUCCUCGAGUGUAUAAUCGAACAGUCUUGCUGCCCUCUGCUGCUACCCCUAGUUUUAAGGCGCUAGAACCUACGAGCCGGUGAAGCCUUGUGUUGUUUGUGUGCUGUCCGGAAUCAGCUAGAAGUGAUCUUCUUUUCCUUUUGUAUCAAACGAAACUUGAAAGGAUAUUUUGAUAUUUAGAUGCUGUUCAUUUACUGGUUAAAUCAGGUUUGAGCCUGGGGCGGCUCGGUUCUUGCUUUACUGGAUGCGCGCAUGGGUCUCUUUUUGUGGGGACCAUGGAGGGUGUCUUUGAUUCAUAGCAUUUUCGAAACGCAAAAAUACAAAAGCGGGUCAUGUCCUUGAAUUCUGUAGGUUAGACAUGCAUAUAGAUUUCAGUGAUGAAAAUUAAUUAUGGAUUGAUUUGAGGAUGGAAUUUUUCAUCAACAUAGUGCAAAUCCUCCCCCGGUAGGGAAAACUUACCUCCUUCGAGAUCUACGGAAAGCUAGGAGGCUGUCCCGUCCAAAUGCGGGCCGUAUGCCGGCCCUCCCAAUUGUGCAGACGCGCCGUGGAGACAUGCUCUUCCACCACCCACGGGCUGCUUGGACAGAGGGAGAUGGGCUCGGAGAAGAUAGCCUGGUUUAUUUGUCUAGAUAGAAUACUGGUCCAUGAAUGAAUUAUUUGGCGACUUGUCUGGUUUGAAGACAUCGUCAUAGCAUUUUCUCUUCUUUUUUUUGGUUAAUUAACUAACGGACUGUUUACGUUUCAGUUGUUCAGAUUUAUGAGCGCUAAAAUUAUUUUAUUUUUGGAUGGAUUAUUUUUUCCAAGUUUCUAUAGUUCUCAUGUUUCCCCCUUGGUAUUGGAAUUUACGAGUAACUUUUUUUAUUAGGGGAUGAAUUAUAUUUUAUAAGUUUCUAAAGUACUCCUGUGCCGUAAUUCAAUUUAUACCUUCUUUUUUCUUGAAGUUUGAACGACAUCCCUCCAUUCCAAUGAAUAAUCCGUGCACGCCUCCUAAAAUCCAACUUUGCCCAACAAUUAGAUUAAUAAUAUAUAUUUUUGUGACUUCAAAAUUGUACCUCUAAAAUUUCUUUUCAAUACGAAUUCAACAAUAUAAUUUUUAUCACAUAUAAUCCAAAUUUUGGUAGGUCUAAUUUAUGGUCAAAGUUUAAUUUUAGGGUAUGUACGUUAUACAUUGAAAUGGUGGCAGUAGUUAUACGUCAGCGUCUCAUAAGGCAAAACUGUCGGGGAACGCAGUAUUUUAAAAAAUUUCCUACGGUCACGCAAGAUCUAUCUAGGAGAUGCAUAGCAACGAGAUGGGAGAGUGUGUCCACGUACCCUCGUAGACCGAAAGCGGAAGCGUUUAGUAACGCGGUUGAUGUAGUCGGACGUCUUCACGAUCCAACCGAUCCAAGCACCGAAUGUAUGGCAUCUCCGUUGUAACACCCUGAGGAUCAUGCUACAAUAACUCUCUGUGAUUAAGCUAAUCAUGUUGCUAAACAGGGCAUGAUCACAUAUGGAAUCGCAUUUCUUUUCAAACUCCUAAUUCAAACUUCAAUUAAAAUUAAAGUGGAAAAUAAAAGUUUUCAAAAAUUUAAACAAAAAUGUUCGGUGGGUGCCAAAUAAUACACUGGUAAUUAUGGUGGAGAAAACACAUUUUUAUAAAAUAUCUAAAUACUUUUAAAUGAAAUAAAACAGAAAAGAAAAUAAACAAAUAAAAAGAAAAUGCAAAAAAACACAGACAAAGAAAAAGAAAAAAAGGAGAAGGCCCCCCCCCCCACAGCACCCCUGGCCCAACUGGGCCGACCCCCGGCCCAGCCCACCUCUCCCACUCGCCCCCCUUCCCUGUUCCCCCGACCGGGGUCGGAACAGGGGCAGUCCCCGACNNNNNNNNNNNNNNNNNNNNNNNNNNNNNNNNNNNNNNNNNNNNNNNNNNNNNNNNNNNNNNNNNNNNNNNNNNNNNNNNNNNNNNNNNNNNNNNNNNNNNNNNNNNNNNNNNNNNNNNNNNNNNNNNNNNNNNNNNNNNNNNNNNNNNNNNNNCCCCGCUCUCCUCUCGGCCCCUGCGCCUCUCUCUUCCCCCCCAGAUCCGCGCCGCUCUCUCCUUCCCCACGCCCGAGGCGGUCGCCGCCGUUCCCGUCGUUCACACGGCCACCGUGCCCACCUCGCCGCCCCACGUUGUCUCCAAGGACCGCCGUCGCCCGCUGCUUCGUCUGGUGCAGCCCGUUGGAGACCGGAGCCCCUACAACGAGCACACCGAGCUCGUCUUCGACUUCGGACGCCGGCGACCCCCCUUCUUCCCCGGCGCCGACCUGCUGCUCCUAAGCCCCUCACCGGCCUCCGUGUGCCGCGCGGUGAGCCUCUCCCCCUCCUCCCCUGUCCUCUCUCUCUCUCGCGCGCCCCCUAGCGGCGUCCCCACGCGCGCCCGAACGCCGCGCCGCGGAGCUCGUCGCCGGCGGGUCUCCGGUGACCAUUUGGUCAUGGGCGUAGGCCCGUUAGCUCGACCGCAUCGUGCCGCACCCGCCUAGCUAGUUAGUUCGGCCGCUCGCGCGCUCUAACGCCGCACCCGCCCCAGCCCGAAGCACUUCGACGCCGGCGAGCUCGUAGCNNNNNNNNNNNNNNNNNNNNNNNNNNNNNNNNNNNNNNNNNNNNNNNNNNNNNNNNNNNNNNNNNNNNNNNNNNNNNNNNNNNNNNNNNNNNNNNNNNNNNNNNNNNNNNNNNNNNNNNNNNNNNNNNNNNNNNNNNNNNNNNNNNNNNNNNNNNNNNNNNNNNNNNNNNNNNNNNNNNNNNNNNNNNNNNNNNNNNNNNNNNNNNNNNNNNNNNNNNNNNNNNNNNNNNNNNNNNNNNNNNNNNNNNNNNNNNNNNNNNNNNNNNNNNNNNNNNNNNNNNNNNNNNNNNNNNNNNNNNNNNNNNNNNNNNNNNNNNNNNNNNNNNNNNNNNNNNNNNNNNNNNNNNNNNNNNNNNNNNNNNNNNNNNNNNNNNNNNNNNNNNNNNNNNNNNNNNNNNNNNNNNNNNNNNNNNNNNNNNNNNNNNNNNNNNNNNNNNNNNNNNNNNNNNNNNNNNNNNNNNNNNNNNNNNNNNNNNNNNNNNNNNNNNNNNNNNNNNNNNNNNNNNNNNNNNNNNNNNNNNNNNNNNNNNNNNNNNNNNNNNNNNNNNNNNNNNNNNNNNNNNNNNNNNNNNNNNNNNNNNNNNNNNNNNNNNNNNNNNNNNNNNNNNNNNNNNNNNNNNNNNNNNNNNNNNNNNNNNNNNNNNNNNNNNNNNNNNNNNNNNNNNNNNNNNNNNNNNNNNNNNNNNNNNGUUUGGCUCGUCGGAGUUGCUCCGGCGCCGGCCGCCGACGUGGCUGGCCUGGGGCCCCCCCAGUGCCACUGCCAGUGGGCCCCGUGGGCCCCGUUGACUGGGUCCACCCAGUCAACGUGCUGACUGGGCAGGCCCAGCCACUGACAUGCGGGCCCCGCCGCAAAAAUUAAAAACAAAAACAAAAAGAAAAAUGUUUUAUAAAUAAAAAUAAUUAGAUUAACUAAUCACUCACUGACAUAUGGGGCCCACCCCUCUAAUUAGACUGUUAGUUUAGUUUAAAUUAAUAUUAGACUAACAGAGGCUGACAUGUGGGUCCCACUGGACCCACCUAUCUGGUUUGACUGGUCAGCCGACCUGUUGACCUGCUGACGUCAGCAUUGCCUCAUGCUGACGUCAUAAUUCAUUUUUGCUUAAUUCAAAUAAUUCCAGAAAUUCAAAUAAACUUUGAAAAUUCAUAUCUUUUAAACCGUAACUCGGAUGAAAAUGUUUUCUAUAUGAAAGUUGCUCAGAACGACGAGACGAAUCCGAAUACGCAGUCCGUUCGUCCACCACACCUCCCUAACCUAUCGAACUAGCAACUUUCCCCCUCCGGUCCGUCUGUCCGAAAACGCGAAACAUCGGGAAUACCUCCCGGUUGUUUCCCCCCUUCACCGGUACCAUCUACUGUCGCGUUAGGUCACACCUAGCACCGCUCAUUGUCAUGUCACGCAUCGUCAUGCUUAUGUUUGCAUUGUAUUUACUGUUUCUUCCCCCUCUUCUCUCCGGUAGACUACGAGACCGACACUGCUGCUGCCCAGUUCAACUACGGAGUCGACGACCCCUCCUACUUGCCAGAGCAACCAGGCAAGCCCCCCCUUGAUCACCAGAUAUCGCCUAUGCUUCUCUAUACUGCUUGCAUUAGAGUAGUGUAGCAUGUUACUGCUUUUUGGUAUCCUAUCCUGAUGCAUAGCCUAUCCUUGCUACUACUGUUGAUACCUGUACCUGCAAUCCUACAUGCUUAGUAUAGGAUGCUAGUUUUCCAUCAGUGGCCCUACAUUCUUGUCCGUCUGCUGUGCUAUACUAUCGGGCCGUGAUCACCUGGGCGGUGAUCACGAGUAUAUACUUAUAUACUAUAUACAUGACACAUGAGAUGACUAAAGUCGGGUCGGCUCGUAGGAGUACCCGCGAGUGGAUCUUUGUGGCGGAGCGACAGGGCAGGUUGAGACCGCCUAGGUGAGAGGUGGGCCUGGCCCUGGUCGGCGUUCGCGGUUACUUAACACGCUUAACGAGAUCUUGGUAUUUGAUCUGAGUCUGGCCAUUUGGUCUAUACGCACUAACCAUCUACGUGGGAGUAGUUAUGGGUAUCCCGACGUCGUGGUAUCAGCCGAAGCUCUUUUGACGUCAGCAACUGAGUGGCGCGCGCCGAAUUGGACCGUAAGCUCGCGCUUGUAUUAAGGGGGCUAGGUCUGCUUCCGGCCGCGUACGCAACGUGCAGGUGUGCAUAGGGCGAUGGGCCCAGACCCCUGCGCGCAUAGGUUUAGACCGGCGUGCUGACCUCUCUGUUGAGCCUAGGUGGGGCUGCGACGUGUUGAUCUUACGAGGCCGGGCACGACCCAGAAAAGUGUGUCCGGCCAAAUGGGAUCGAGCGUGUUGGGUUAUGUGGUGCACCCCUGCAAGGAAGUUUAUCUAUUCGAAUAGCCGUGUCCCUCGGUAAAAGGACGACCCGGAGUUGUACCUUGACCUUAUGACAACUAGAACUGGAUACUGAAUAAAAUACACCCUUCCAAGUGCCAGAUACAACCCGGUGAUCGCUCUCUAACAGGGCGACGAGGAGGGGAUCGCCGGGUAGGAUUAUGCUAUGCGAUGCUACUUGGAGGACUUCAAUCUACUCUCUUCUAUAUGCUGCAAGAUGGAGAUGGCCAGAAGCGUAGUUUUCGACAGGACUAGCUAUCCCCCUUCUUAUUCUGGCAUUCUGCAGUUCAGUCCACUGAUAUGCCCCUUUACACAUAUACCCAUGCAUAUGUAGUAUAGCUCCUUGCUUGCGAGUACUUUGGAUGAGUACUCACGGUUGCUUCUCUCCCUCUUUUCCCCCUUUCCCUUCUAUCUGGUUGUCGCAACCAGAUGUUGGAGUCCAGGAGCCAGACGCCACCGUCGACGGCGACACCUACGACACUGGAGGUGCCUACUACUACGUGCAGGCCGCUGACGACGACCAGGAGUAGUUAGGAGGUCCCAGGCAGGAGGCCUUGCCUUUUCGAUCGUUGCUACUUUUGUGCUAGCCUUCUUAAGGCAAACUUGUUUAACUUAUGUCUGUACUCAGAUAUUGUUGCUUUCGCUGACUCGUCUGUGAUCGAGCACUUGUAUUCGAGCCCUCGAGGCCCCUGGCUUGUAAUAUGAUGCUUGUAUGACUUAUUUUUGUUGUAGAGUUGUGUUGUGAUAUCUUCCCGUGAGUCCCUGACCUUGAUCGUACACAUUUGCAUGCAUGAUUAGUGUACGGUCAAAUCGGGGGCGUCACAAGUUGGUAUCAGAGCCAACUGCCUGUAGGAAUCCCCCUUUCCACACUCCUUGGCCGAAGUCGAGUCUAGUCAUUGAAAAACUUUUAAUAACAUGACUGUGUGGCUUACGGGCCCACGUCGCCAUUGGGUGGUAUUAGGAUCUUUUACUCCUUGCCUAUACUCUGGGACUCUGAUCUCUCUUCCAUUCGGGUUAAAUGAUUUUACUAAAUCUAACAUUAGGAUCUCGUUAACACUUUCACCCGGAGAGCCCCUUAUUACUGAUGAUCGUCUGUUGCACGUGAAGACCAUGAAGAUACUCUACGCUGAUAACCCGAGAACUUGUGUUCAUCGCUUUUUGCAAUUCCCUUUCAUCGAUAAACUCCUAUGGAUAACCACGUAUACUCGCCAUUCAUACAAUGUUUCCCAGAUGAUCUUGUUAUUACAAGAUACCCCGAAAUUCUCUCUGUUGUUCCGAGAAUCCUUUGAGCUUACUACCUUGCUGUCCUUUGUCACCUGAAUACCCCUACGGAUAAUCCUCGCACUUACCGAGUAUCCGCUCAUCCCCAGUUGAUUCAAGUAUUUCACAAAAGUGUUCAAAAUAUCAUUCGAUCUUCCGAAAAUCUUCAGGAGCCUGUUGCUCUUGAAAUUCUUGCUUACUAGCAUUAUGAUUAAUCCCAUAAACCUCGAAAUCUUAUUGGCACCCUUUGUCAUUAUAUUUUUGAGUCCAUUGAUUCAAUAUGUUGCGAAUGCUCGCAAUCCUCAAUCAGAUCCUAGAAUUCAUCCUUCCGGCUCAGACAUCUUUAACAUGAGCUGGAUCUCGACCAAUCAAAUCGUCAUCGAUUGUACCCCUAAGGCUAUUCAACAUAUCCAUCCCUAAUCAGAGCAUUGCUUCUGAUCCCUUGUCUUGGAAUUCAUAAUUCCUUUGCAUUUGAGCUUUUGAGUUAGUCAGUUGUUUCUAUAGUCUGAUCUCCUUGCAUUCUUUCUUCCUCUGGUUGAGUACUGAUGCUCACAUCAGAUCCCUUGGGGACCACCAGCCCCUUUUGUCGGAUUUUAUCCGACAAUGUCCUCCAUAUUAAAUAAGCUGGUGAGCUUUUCCUCGGAUACAUGAUGCCUUUGGUAAAUUGUAUCCUCUGCCUUGUGAACCAUACUCUACUUUCGAGCUUGUAUUAUUUACUCCGAAGUUCGUGGUAUAUGUUCUAAGAAGCCCUGAUGGGUUGAACCUAUGCCUUCCUUAAUAUGUGUGAACUCGAAAGUUUUCACGAGUCAUACUCUCCUGGUAUUUUGCCAUAUAAAAUUUCAACACUACAACUUCAUCGAACGCGAGGAGAAAAUGAAAGGAUAUGCAUUGGAGAAGUGGGAGUCGACCUUGAACUUUGUGUUCAUGCCCAUGGACACAAUGUAGAUCUUAUCAUUAAAAGAUUCUCUUAAAUUAAUUAUUCCCUUGGUAUAAGUUCAUCUUAUAUCUGGGAUCUGGCCUUUUGCAAUCAUGGUUUCGACCAUGUUCUCCUUUAAAUACCAUUUCUUGGACAAGUUAAAUCACUUGUCUUCUGCAGGUCAAUACGCUUGCCCAACCUCUAUUAUGGUCUACCUUUGAGUAUUACCCCUGGUAUCUCGGGGAUAUCUUACCAUUGCACUACAUCUUAUAAACUUUGAUGAAGUACUACCUUACCUUGUCUUUGUCACUUCAUGGGCUCUGGGUUGUUUGUCAACCGAGAACACCGAAUAGUGAAUCAAGUCCGCACUCCGAUUCAAUAACUCUAGGUAAUUUUCGUUGCUUACGAGUUUAAUAAUCAUUAAGUCAUUCCUAGCCUGAUCGGCUAUAUCAUUAGCGUGCUAAAUUUUAACUGUGCUACCUGGUCCUUAACCCCGGAGCACAACUUUCGAUGAUGAGCUAAGCUUACGCCGAUCUUCCUCUCAUACCAUUUCACCUUGAACAACAAGCUUGAUUUCAAGCGUGUGUCCUACCCAUGGUUCCAAUAACCGUCUGCUUCAUCAUUCCUUUGACUUGAUGUCGUCGCUGAUUGAUUACAUCUUCAUGAAAUCUCUCGACAAAUGUGUCGUGAUCAUCAUCAACCUUAUGNNNNNNNNNNNNNNNNNNNNNNNNNNNNNNNNNNNNNNNNNNNNNNNNNNNNNNNNNNNNNNNNNNNNNNNNNNNNNNNNNNNNNNNNNNNNNNNNNNNNNNNNNNNNNNNNNNNNNNNNNNNNNNNNNNNNNNNNNNNNNNNNNNNNNNNNNNNNNNNNNNNNNNNNNNNNNNNNNNNNNNNNNNNNNNNNNNNNNNNNNNNNNNNNNNNNNNNNNNNNNNNNNNNNNNNNNNNNNNNNNNNNNNNNNNNNNNNNNNNNNNNNNGCUCUUCCAGGAUAUCGAUUGAGUUCAUGAUGAGAAAUACCAUCCUUGCCCUCGAUGAUCUGUGUUAUCAUCGACCACUUUAUUGCCUUCCCUCCAACACAAGCUUGUUCGUGUUUGGUGUUAUACCUUGAGUUCCUUGCUAUCCAGCAAUUGUUCUUCUUUACCUUGGAGUAUUACCAUCUUUUAUGUCAAGUAUGUCGUAAGAAUUUCACCACCUCGCAUGACAUCUUGGUACAGUGAUACUUCUCCCCAUCACCAUUCCUUCUUGGUCCCCGUGUUGUUUCUAAAAGGAAUACCAACAAAUGGUCUGUGGUGUGUAAAUUNNNNNNNNNNNNNNNNNNNNNNNNNNNNNNNNNNNNNNNNNNNNNNNNNNNNNNNNNNNNNNNNNNNNNNNNNNNNNNNNNNNNNNNNNNNNNNNNNNNNNNNNNNNNNNNNNNNNNNNNNNNNNNNNNNNNNNNNNNNNNNNNNNNNNNNNNNNNNNNNNNNNNNNNNNNNNNNNNNNNNNNNNNNNNNNNNNNNNNNNNNNNNNNNNNNNNNNNNNNNNNNNNNNNNNNNNNNNNNNNNNNNNNNNNNNNNNNNNNNNNNNNNNNNNNNNNNNNGUCUAUGGCUUAAUGAAUCAUCAUUCGAACAUUGAUUGUGCUACCUAGCCCAUAUUUCGGGUGCACAUUUCAACCAAUGUUUAACUGUGUAUGUUUUCCUCGAGCAUACAUCAUUAAGUCAUUCGAUCUAGCUAAUGUUAUCUCCUUGUUCACAUAGUGGUGGAAAUCCAUCUUUUGGAAAUCUCAAUGGAUUGUCGCUGAGUCAAGCAGUCACCUCCUCACCUCUCCUUGAUUUAAUUAUGAACCCUUGUUCGGAACUCGCUUCCAUAGUUCGUCUCCCGAGAAUCUUCGAUGUCGUUUCGACAAUUUGAGUUGCACCUUUUCUUCUCAGGGAUCCUGAGUCUGAGUUAUCCUGACAUCAAUCAGAUCUGAAUCUCGGUCAGAUAUGAUGGUUGGAACAUAUUUCCAAGAGUUAUAACAUUGGCCUAUUUAUGACCUGGUAAGGUGAUGUCUUGCCUAACACACCUGGCGGGAGGACCUAUUGUUAUAAGUUUUACUUUUUAGCAAGGUUAGCUAUUCUUCCAUGAGGAAAUUGUAAGACUUACUCUAUAAGUUGUUCCUGAUGGAUCCUUUUUGUUUCCAAAGUCUGAUCUUCACCUGUUGACCAUGUCAAUGCUAUCUCGAAGCAUGCCUAUGGUACUCUGAUUUUAAACAGGAACAUUUGAAGCCCAAAGCUAAUUGUUUCCUGCUCAAUUAUCCACACACCGUUGUAUGGGUAAUGUCAUGAAAUUUCUCUCCCGUACCUAAAGAGUUUUCUACAUUAUAUCACGUCAUGGAUAUCGUGCUCUGCUUGUCCUUGGGAAGGAUAUACCCUUGAAAUAUGUGUUUAAACACAUUUUCCUUUCCAUUCUUCUGUUUAAUCUAAUAAUCAUAUUUUCCUUUCCAUUGUUUGGUUUAACCUUUCUGGUGAUCUAUAUGAUCUAAGCAGUAAUAUUCUCCUGCUCAUGUAAACACCUCGGAGUACAACUCUGUCAGUAAGACCCUGUUACUAUUGUUGGUGACAUUUCGGUAACCACUGAUGGACGAGAACUUUGCCUAAUGGUCCGCCUCGUUUGAACGAGCAGGAAAAUGGUUCUCUUCGUCCCUCGCCCUUGGAACCAACGUGUUGCCGACAUAACUGACAGGGUGUUCCCUGACAUGCCUUGCUAUCAUGACUAUGCGAGAUGUCACCGCUCCUAUUUUUAACCCACAUGGUGGGCCCAUAACCCACAGUUCCACAGGAUCGAAACCUGACUCUCUUGUACACCCCUUGUUCCCAAGGUUAUUCCUCACGCUUGGCUUCGUAUGUAAUUCACGUGCCACCUUUCGUGAGAUCAUCAAUUUUGGUAUCAGACACAAUACUUAUUCCCGUUGCUCAGAACCCUUCAGGCAUCAAACGAGUGCCUACCCGCUCGAAACUUCCCCACGAUACCUCCUUACUUUGCUCUCGAUAUUGUCUUAAAUUUCCAUUCGAGAGUUACUUUCCGCCACCUUUCCCGAUGUUAUCAACCAGAUAGUCAACCGUUCAGAGGCCUGUUAUUCCGAAGUUACCCCUUGUCCUUCGUAAGUACGAUGGAGUUCCCGAAGGAAGGAUGCCAGCUUCAUCAUGAUGACCUGAAGCAGGAAAAUGAAGACAUCAACGUAAUGGAUCAACCGCUUUGAGAAUAGCAACCAAGACCGAGAAGACUCGUUAGAAUUUCGCGACCAAAUCCCUUCCCCCUUACUUCCCCUCUUAAAUCUCGGGACGAGAUUUCUUGUAGUGGAGGAGAUUUGUAACACCCUGAGGAUCAUGCUACAGUAACUCUCUGUGAUUAAGCUAAUCAUGUUGCUAAACAGGGCAUGAUCACAUUUGGAAUCGCAUUUCUUUUCAAACUCCUAAUUCAAACUUCAAUUAAAAUUAAAGUGGAAAAUAAAAGUUUUCAAAAAUUUAAACAAAAAUGUUCGGUGGGUGCCAAAUAAUACACUGGUAAUUAUGGUGGAGAAAACACAUUUUUUAAAAUACCUAAAUACUUUUAAAUGAAAUAAAACAGAAAAGAAAAUAAACAAAUAAAAAGAAAAUGCAAAAGAACACAGACAAAGAAAAGAAAAAAAAGGAGAAGGCCCCCCCCACAAAACCCCUGGCCCAACUGGGCCGACCCCCGGCCCAGCCCACCUCUCCCACUCGCCCCCCUUCCCUGUUCCCCCGACCGGGGUCGGAACAGGGGAAGUCCCCGCCGCACCCCCUCGCCGGCGACGGGGAGGAUAAGGUCGCCAGCUCCCCCCGNNNNNNNNNNNNNNNNNNNNNNNNNNNNNNNNNNNNNNNNNNNNNNNNNNNNNNNNNNNNNNNNNNNNNNNNNNNNNNNNNNNNNNNNNNNNNNNNNNNNNNNNNNNNNNNNNNNNNNNNNNNNNNNNNNNNNNNNNNNNNNNNNNNNNNNNNNNNNNNNNNNNNNNNNNNNNNNNNNNNNNNNNNNNNNNNNNNNNNNNNNNNNNNNNNNNNNNNNNNNNNNNNNNNNNNNNNNNNNNNNNNNNNNNNNNNNNNNNNNNNNNNNNNNNNNNNNNNNNNNNNNNNNNNNNNNNNNNNNNNNNNNNNNNNNNNNNNNNNNNNNNNNNNNNNNNNNNNNNNNNNNNNNNNNNNNNNNNNNNNNNNNNNNNNNNNNNNNNNNNNNNNNNNNNNNNNNNNNNNNNNNNNNNNNNNNNNNNNNNNNNNNNNNNNNNNNNNNNNNNNNNNNNNNNNNNNNNNNNNNNNNNNNNNNNNNNNNNNNNNNNNNNNNNNNNUCUCCUCUCGGCCCCUGCGCCUCUCUCUUUCCCCCCCCAGAUCCGCGCCGCUCUCUCCUUCCCCACGCCCGACGUGGUCACCGCUGUUCCCGUCGUUCACACGGCCACCGUGCCCACCUCGCCGCCCCACGUUGUCUCCAAGGACCGCCGUCGCCCGCUGCUUCGUCUGGUGCAGCCCGUUGGAGACCGGAGCCCCUACAACAAGCACACCGAGCUCGUCUUCGACUUCGGACGCCGGCGACCCCCCUUCUUCCCCGGCGCCGACCUGCUGCUCCUAAGCCCCUCACCGGCCUCCGUCUGCCGCGCGGUGAGCCUCUCCCCCUCCUCCCCUGUCCUCUCUCUCUCUCGCGCGCCCCCUAGCGGCGUCCCCACGCGCGCCCGAACGCCGCGCCGCGGAGCUCGUCGCCGGCGGGUCUCCGGUGACCAUUUGGUCAUGGGCGUAGGCCCGUUAGCUUGACCGCAUCGUGCCGCACCCGCCUAGCUAGUUAGUUCGGCCGCUCGCGCGCUCUAACGCCGCACCCGCCCCAGCACGAAGCACUUCGCCGCCGGCGAGCUCGUAGCGCUCGCCCCCGCCCGUUCCAGCCGCUCCGGCCACCACCGUUGGACGCGCGGCGCCGAGCCGCGUCGAACGCGCCCAGCCACGACCCCGCANNNNNNNNNNGUUUGGCUCGUCGGAGUUGCUCCGGCGCCGGCCGCCGACGUGGCUGGCCUGGGGCCCCCCCAGUGCCACUGCCAGUGGGCCCCGUGGGCCCCGUUGACUGGGUCCACCCAGUCAACGUGCUGACUGGGCAGGCCCAGCCACUGACAUGCGGGCCCCGCCGCAAAAAUUAAAAACAAAAACAAAAAGAAAAAUGUUUUAUAAAUAAAAAUAAUUAGAUUAACUAAUCACUCACUGACAUAUGGGGCCCACCCCUCUAAUUAGACUGUUAGUUUAGUUUAAAUUAAUAUUAGACUAACAGAGGCUGACAUGUGGGUCCCACUGGACCCACCUAUCUGGUUUGACUGGUCAGCCGACCUGUUGACCUGCUGACGUCAGCAUUGCCUCAUGCUGACGUCAUAAUUCAUUUUUGCUUAAUUCAAAUAAUUCCAGAAAUUCAAAUAAACUUUGAAAAUUCAUAUCUUUUAAACCGUAACUCGGAUGAAAAUGUUUUCUAUAUGAAAGUUGCUCAGAACGACGAGACGAAUCCGAAUACGCAGUCCGUUCGUCCACCACACCUCCCUAACCUAUCGAACUAGCAACUUUCCCCCUCCGGUCCGUCUGUCCGAAAACGCGAAACAUCGGGAAUACCUCCCGGUUGUUUCCCCCCUUCACCGGUACCAUCUACUGUCGCGUUAGGUCACACCUAGCACCGCUCAUUGUCAUGUCACGCAUCGUCAUGCUUAUGUUUGCAUUGUAUUUACUGUUUCUUCCCCCUCUUCUCUCCGGUAGACUACGAGACCGACACUGCUGCUGCCCAGUUCAACUACGGAGUCGACGACCCCUCCUACUUGCCAGAGCAACCAGGCAAGCCCCCCCUUGAUCACCAGAUAUCGCCUAUGCUUCUCUAUACUGCUUGCAUUAGAGUAGUGUAGCAUGUUACUGCUUUUUGGUAUCCUAUCCUGAUGCAUAGCCUAUCCUUGCUACUACUGUUGAUACCUGUACCUGCAAUCCUACAUGCUUAGUAUAGGAUGCUAGUUUUCCAUCAGUGGCCCUACAUUCUUGUCCGUCUGCUGUGCUAUACUAUCGGGCCGUGAUCACCUGGGCGGUGAUCACGGGUAUAUACUUAUAUACUAUAUACAUGACACAUGAGAUGACUAAAGUCGGGUCGGCUCGUAGGAGUACCCGUGAGUGGAUCUUUGUGGCGGAGCGACAGGGCAGGUUGAGACCGCCUAGGUGAGAGGUGGGCCUGGCCCUGGUCGGCGUUCGCGGUUACUUAACACGCUUAACGAGAUCUUGGUAUUUGAUCUGAGUCUGGCCAUUUGGUCUAUACGCACUAACCAUCUACGUGGGAGUAGUUAUGGGUAUCCCGACGUCGUGGUAUCAGCCGAAGCUCUUUUGACGUCAGCAACUGAGUGGCGCGCGCCGCAUUGGACCGUAAGCUCGCGCUUGUAUUAAGGGGGCUAGGUCUGCUUCCGGCCACGUACGCAACGUGCAGGUGUGCAUAGGGCGAUGGGCCCAGACCCCUGCGCGCAUAGGUUUAGACCGGCGUGUUGACCUCUCUGUUGAGCCUAGGUGGGGCUGCGACGUGUUGAUCUUAGGAGGCCGGGCAUGACCCAGAAAAGUUUGUCCGGCCAAAUGGGAUCGAGCGUGUUGGGUUAUGUGGUGCACCCCUGCAGGGAAGUUUAUCUAUUCGAAUAGCCGUGUCCCUCGGUAAAAGGAUGACCCGGAGUUGUACCUUGACCUUAUGACAACUAGAACUGGAUACUGAAUAAAAUACACCCUUCCAAGUGCCAGAUACAACCCGGUGAUCGCUCUCUAACAGGGCGACGAGGAGGGGAUCGCCGGGUAGGAUUAUGCUAUGCGAUGCUACUUGGAGGACUUCAAUCUACUCUCUUCUAUAUGCUGCAAGAUGGAGAUGGCCAGAAGCGUAGUUUUCGACAGGACUAGCUAUCCCCCUUCUUAUUCUGGCAUUCUGCAGUUCAGUCCACUGAUAUGCCCCUUUACACAUAUACCCAUGCAUAUGUAGUAUAGCUCCUUGCUUGCGAGUACUUUGGAUGAGUACUCACGGUUGCUUCUCUCCCUCUUUUCCCCCUUUCCCUUCUAUCUGGUUGUCGCAACCAGAUGUUGGAGUCCAGGAGCCAGACGCCACCGUCGACGGCGACACCUACGACACUGGAGGUGCCUACUACUACGUGCAGGCCGCUGACGACGACCAGGAGUAGUUAGGAGGUCCCAGGCAGGAGGCCUUGCCUUUUCGAUCGGUGCUACUUUUGUGCUAGCCUUCUUAAGGCAAACUUGUUUAACUUAUGUCUGUACUCAGAUAUUGUUGCUUCCGCUGACUCGUCUAUGAUCGAGCACUUGUAUUCGAGCCCUCGAGGCCCCUGGCUUGUAAUAUGAUGCUUGUAUGACUUAUUUUUGUUGUAGAGUUGUGUUGUGAUAUCUUCCCGUGAGUCCCUGACCUUGAUCGUACACAUUUGCGUGCAUGAUUAGUGUACGGUCAAAUCGGGGGCGUCACAUCCGUGUUCAGCACACGUUCAGCACGAUGACGUCCCUCGAGCUCUUGAUCCAGUUGAGGACGAAGGAGAGUUCCGUCAGCACGACGGCGUGGUGACGGUGAUGAUGAAGUUACCGGCGCAGGGCUUCGCCUAAGCACUACGGCUAAGAGAUUGUCUGUUGUGCUUUGGGAUGCCCCCUUGCCCACGUAUAUAAAGAAGGGGGGAGGAGGAGGCCGGCCAAGGAGGAGGCGCGCCAAGGGGGGAGGCCUACUAGGACUCCAAACCUAGUAGGAUUCGCCCCCCAACUUUCCUUCCAACGGAGAGGAGGAAAGGGGAAAGGAGGGAGAGGGAGAAGGAAAGAGGGGGGCCGCGCCCCUUCCCCUUGUCCAAUUCGGAUUGGGGCAAGGGUGGCGCGCCCCACCUCCUGUGGCCUGCCUCCUCUCCUCUACUAUGGCCCAUUAGGCCCAAUAACUUUCCCGGGGGGUUCCGAUAGCCUCCCGGUACUCCGAUAAAUCUCCGAACCUUAUCGAAACCAUUCCGAUGUCCGUAUAUAACCUUCCAAUAUAUCAAUCUUUACCUCUCGACCAUUUCGAGACUCCUCGUCAUGUCCGUGAUAUCAUCCGGGACUCCGAACAAACUUCGAUCAUCAAAUCACAUAACUCAUAAUACAAAUCUUCAUCGAACGUUAAGCGUGCGGACCCUACGGGUUCGAGAACUAUGUACACAUGACCGAGACACAUCUCCGGUCAAUAACCAAUAGCGGAACCUGGAUGCUCAUAUCGGCUCCUACAUAUUCUACGAAGAUCUUUAUCGGUCAAACCGCAUAACAACAUACGUCAUUCCCUUUGUCAUCGGUAUGUUACUUGCCCGAGAUUCGAUCGUCAGCAUCAUCAUACCUAGUUCAAUCUCGUUACCGGCAAGUCUCUUGCUCGUUCUGUAAUGCAUCAUCCUGCAACUAACUCAUUAGUCACAUUGCUUGCAAGGCUUAUAGUGAUGUGCAUUACCGAGAGGGCCCAGAGAUACCUCUCCGACACACAGAGUGACAAAUCCUAAUCUCGAUCUAUGCCAACUCAACAAACACCAUCGGAGACACCUGUAGAGCAUCUUUAUAAUCACCCAGUUACGUUGUGACGUUUGAUAGCACACAAAGUGUUCCUCCGGUAUACGGGAGUUGCAUAAUCUCAUAGUCAGAGGAAAUGUAUAAGUCAUGAAUAAAGCAAUAUCAAUAAAACUUAACGAUCAUUAUGCUAAGCUAAUAGAUGGGUCUUGUCCAUCACAUCAUUCUCUAAUGAUGUGAUCCCGUUCAUCAAAUGACAACACAUGUCUAUGGUUAGGAAACUUAACCAUCUUUGAUUAACGAGCUAGUCAAGUAGAGGCAUACUAGGGACACUCUGUUUUGUCUAUGUAUUCACACAUGUACUAAGUUUCCAGUACAAUUCUAGCAUGAAUAAUAAAAAUUUAUCAUGAUAUAAGGAAAUAUAAAUAACAACUUUAUUAUUGCCUCUAGGGCAUAUUUCCUUCAGUCUCCCACUUGCACUAGAGUCAAUAAUCUAGUUCACAUCGUCAUGUGGUUUAACACCAAUAGUUCACAUCGCCAUGUGACUAACACCAAAGGGUUUACUAGAGUCAAUAAUCUAGUUCACAUCGCUAUGUGAUUAACACCCAAAGAGUACUAAGGUGUGAUCAUGUUUUGCUUGUGAGAGAAUUUUUGUCAACGGGUUUGUCACAUUCAGAGCCGUAUGUAUUUUGCAAAUUUCUAUGUUUACAAUGCUCUGCAUGGAGCUACUCUAGCUAAUUGCUCCCACUUUCAAUAUGUAUCCAGAUUGAGACUCAGAGUCAUCCGGAUCGGUGUAAAAGCUUGCAUCGACGUAACUCUUUACGACGAACUCUUUAUUACCUCCAUAACCGAGAAAUAUUUCCUUAGUCCUCUUAGGUAACUAAGGAUAACUUUGACCGCUGUCGAGUAAUCCACUCCUGGAUCACUAUCGUACCCUAAUACGUCUCCAACGUAUCUAUAAUUUUUGAUUGUUCCAUGCUAUUAUAUUAUCUGUUUUGGAUGUUUAAUGGGCUUUAAUAUGCUCUUUUAUAUUAUUUUUGGGACUAACCUAUUAACUGGAGGCCCAGUGCCAGUUUCUGUUUUUUUGGCCUAUUUUAGAGUUUUGCAGAAAAGGAAUACCAAACGGAGUCCAAAUGGAAUGAAACCUUCGCGAUGAUCUUUCUUGGACCAAAAGCAAUCCAGAAGACCUGGAGUUGAAGUCUGUAACUCCACGAGGCGGCCACGAGGUAGGAGGGCGCGCCCAGGGGGGUAGGCGCACCCCCACCCUUGUGGGCCCCUCGUAGCUCCACCGACGUACUUCUUUCACCUAUAUAUACUCUUAUACCCUAGAAACAUCGCAGAGAGCCACGAAACCACUUUUCCACCGCCGCAACCUUCUGUACCCGUGAGAUCCCAUCUUGGGGCCUUUUCCGGUGAUCUGCCGGAGGGGGAAUCAAUCACGGAGGGCUUCUACAUCAACACCAUUGCCUCUCCGAUGAAGCGUGAGUAGUUUACCACAGACCUUCGGGUCCAUAGUUAUUAGCUAGAUGGCUUCUUCUCUCUCUUAGUUUCUCAAUACAAAGUUCUCCUCGAUGUCCUUGGAGAUCUAUUUGAUGUAAUACUCUUUUGCGGUGUGUUUGCCGAGAUCCGAUGAAUUGUGGAUUUAUGAACAAGAUUAUAUAUGAAUAUUAUUUGGUUCUUCUCUGAAUUGUUAUAUGCAUGAUUUGAUAUCUUUGCAAGUCUCUUCGAAUUAUCGGUUUAGUUUGGCCUACUAGAUUGAUCUUUCUUGUAAUGGGAGAAGUGCUUAGCUUUGGGUUCAAUCUUGCUGUGUCCUUUCCCAUUGACAUUAGGGGCAGCAAGGCACGUAUUGUAUUGUUGCCAUCGAGGAUAAAAAGAUGGGGUUUAUAUCAUAUUGCUUGAGUUUAUCCCUCUACAUCAUGUCAUCUUGCUUAAUGCAUUACUCUGUUCUUAUGAACUUAAUACUCUAGAUGCAUGCUGGAUAGCGGUCGAUGUGUGGAGUAAUAGUAGUAGAUGCAGAAUCGUUUCGGUCUACUUGACACGGAUGUGAUGCCUAUAUUCAUGAUCAUUGCCUUAGAUAUCUUCAUAAUUAUGCGCUUUUCUAUCAAUUGGUUGGCAGUAAUUUGUUCACCCACCGUAAUACAUGCUAUCUUGAGAGAAGCCACUGUUGGAAAUAUGCCCUAGAGGCAAUAAUAAAUGGUUAUUAUUAUAUUUCUUUGUUCAUGGUAAUUGUCUAUUGUUCAUGCUAUAAUUGUAUUGUCCGGAAAUCAUAAUACAUGUGUGAAUACAUAUACCACAACGUGUCCCUAGUAAGCCUCUAGUUGACUAGCUCGUUGAUCAACAGAUAGUCAUGGUUUCCUGACUAUGGACAUUGGAUGUCAUUGAUAACGGGAUCACAUCAUUAGGAGAAUGAUUUGAUGGACAAGACCCAAUCCUAAGCAUAGCAUAAAAGAUCGUGUAGUUUCGUUUGCUAGAGCUUUUCCAAUGUCAAGUAUCUUUUCCUUAGACCAUGAGAUCGUGCAACUCCCGGAUACCGUAGGAGUGCUUUGGGUGUGCCAAACAUCACAACGUAACUGGGUGACUAUAAAGGUGCACUACGGGUAUCUCCGAAAGUGUCUGUUGGGUUGGCAUGGAUCGAGACUGGGAUUUGUCACUCCGUGUGACGGAGAGGUAUCUCUGGGCCCACUCGGUAAUGCAUCAUCAUAAUGAGCUCUAUGUGACUAAGGCGUUAGUCACGGGAUCAUGCAUUGCGGUACGAGUAAAGAGACUUGCCGGUAACGAGAUUGAACAAGGUAUUGGGAUACCGACGAUCGAAUCUCGGGCAAGUAACAUACCGAUUGACAAAGGGAAUUGCAUACGGGAUUGAUUGAAUCCUCGACAUCGUGGUUCAUCCGAUGAGAUCGUUGUGGAACAUGUGGGAGCCAACAUGGGUAUCCAGAUCCCGCUGUUGGUUAUUGACCGGAGAGGCGUCUCGGUCAUGUCUGCAUGUCUCCCGAACCCGUAGGCGUCUCGGUGACGCUAGGGUUGUAAAGAUAUGUGUAUGCGGAAACCCGAAAGUUGUUCGGAGUCCCAGAUGAGAUCCCGAACGUCACGAGGAGUUCCGGAAUGGUCCGGAGGUGAAGAAUUAUAUAUAGGAAGACAAGUUUCGGCCACCGGGAAAGUUUCGGGGGUUACCGGUAUUGUACCGGGACCACCGGAAGGGUCCCGGGGGUCCACCGGGUGGGGCCACCUAUCCCGGAGGGCCCCUGGGCUGAAGUGGGAAGGGAACCAGCCCCUAGUGGGCUGGGCGCCCCCCCAUGGGCCUCCCCCCUCCGCCUAGGGUUGGAAACCCUAGGGUGGGGGGGCGCCCCACUUGCCUUGGGGGGCAAGUAUUCCCCCUGGCCGCCGCCCCCCCAUCCAGAUGGGAUCCUGGCCGGCGCCCCCCCUCCCAGGGGGCCUAUAUAAAGUGGGGAGGGAGGGCAGCAACAUUACAGCCUUGGGCGCCUCCCUCCUCCCCUGCUACACCUCUCUCUCUCACAGAAGCUCGGCGAAGCCCUGCUGACAUCUCGCUACAUCCACCACCACGCCGUCGUGCUGCUGGAUCUCCAUCAACCUCUCCUUCCCCCUUGCUGGAUCAAGAAGGAGGAGAUGUCACUGCACCGUACGUGUGUUGAACGCGGAGGUGCCGUCCGUUCGGCACUCGGUUAUCGGUGAUUUGAAUCACGGCGAGUACGACUCCGUCAUCCACGUUCAUUGGAACGCUUCCGCUCGCGAUCUACAAGGGUAUGUAGAUGCUCUCCUUUCCCCUCAUUGCUAGUAUACUCCAUAGAUGCAUCUUGGUGAGCGUAGGAAAAUUUUAAAAUUAUGCUACGAUACCCAACAGUGGCAUCAUGAGCCAGGCCUAUGCGUAGUUACUAUGCAUGAGUAGAACACAAAGCAGUUGUGGGCGUUGAUGUUGCCAAUUCUUCUUGCCGCUACUAGUCGUAUCUUUUUUCGGCGGUAUUGUAGGAUGAAGCGGCCCGGACCGACCUUACACGUACGCUUACGUGAGACAGGUUCCACCGACUGACAUGCACUAGUUGCAUAAGGUGGCUAGCGGGUGUCUGUCUCUCCUACUUUAGUCGGAACGGAUUCGAUGAAAAGGGUCCUUAUGAAGGGUAAAUAGAAAUUGGCAAAUCACGUUGUGGUCAUACGUAGGUAAGAAACGUUCUUGCUAGAAACCUACAAGCCACGUAAAAAACUUGCAACUACAAUUAGAGGACGUCUAACUUGUUUUUGCAGCAUGUGUUAUGUGAUGUGAUAUGGCCAGAAGAUGUGAUGAAUGAUAUAUGUGAUGUAUGAGAUUGAUCAUAUUCUUGUAAUAGGAAUCACGACUUGCAUGUCGAUGAGUAUGACAACCGGCAGGAGCCAUAGGAGUUGUCUUUAUUAUUUUGUAUGACCUGCGUGUCAUUGAAUAACGCCAUGUAAAUUACUUUACUUUGUUGCUAAACGCGUUAGCCAUAGAAGUAGAAGUAAUCAUUGGCGUGAUGACUUCAUGAAGACACAAUGAUGGAGAUCAUGGUGUCAUGCCGGUGACGAAGAUGAUCAUGGUGCCCCGAAGAUGGAGAUCAAAGGAGCAUAAUGAUAUUGGCCAUAUCAUGUCACUAUUUGAUUGCAUGUGAUGUUUAUCAUGUUUUGCAUCUUAUUUGCUUAGAACGAUGGUAGUAAGUAAGAUGUUCCCUUAUGAUAAUUUCAAGAAAAGUGUUCCCCCUAACUGUGCACCGUUGCGAAGGUUCGUUGUUUCGAAGCACCACGUGAUGAUCGGGUGUGAUAGAUUCUAACGUUCGAAUACAACGGGUGUUGACGAGCCUAGCAUGUAUAGACAUGGCCUCGGAACACACGCAAUACACUUAGGUUGACUUGACGAGCCUAGCAUGUACAGACAUGGCCUCGGAACACGGAGGACCGAAAGGUCGAGCAUGAGUCGUAUAGAAGAUACGAUCAACAUGGAGAUGUUCACCGAUCUUGACUAGUCCGUCUCACGUGAUGAUCGGACACGACCUAGUUAACUCGGAUCAUGUUUCACUUAGAUGACUAGAGGGAUGUCUAUCUGAGUGGGAGUUCAUUGAGUAAUUUGAUUAGAUGAACUUAAUUAUCAUGAACUUAGUCUAAUCUUUACACUAUGUCUUGUAGAUCAAAUGGCCCACGUUGUCCUCAAUUUCAACGCGUUCCUAGAGAAAACCAAGCUGAAAGAUGAUGGCAGCAACUAUACGGACUGGGUCCGGAACCUGAGGAUCAUCCUCAUAGCAGCCAAGAAAGAUUAUGUCUUAGAAGCACCGCUAGGUGAAUUACCAAUCCCAGAGAACCAAGACGUUAUGAACGCUUGGCAGCAGCGUGCUGAUGAUUACUCCCUUGUUCAGUGCGGCAUGCUUUACAGCUUAGAACCGGGUCUCCAAAAGCGUUUUGAGAAACAUGGAGCAUAUGAGAUGUUCGAGGAGCUGAAAAUGGUUUUCCAAGCUCAUGCCCGGGUCGAGAGAUAUGAAGUCUCCGACAAGUUCUUCAGCUGUAAAAUGGAGGAGAAUAGUUCUGUUAGUGAGCACAUACUCAGAAUGUCUGGGUUACACAACCGCUUGUCUCAGCUGGGAGUUAAUCUCCCGGAUGAUGCGGUCAUUGACAGAAUCCUUCAGUCGCUUCCACCAAGCUACAAGAGCUUUGUGAUGAACUUCAAUAUGCAGGGGAUGGAAAAGACCAUUCCUGAGGUAUAUUCAAUGCUGAAAUCAGCGGAGGUGGAGAUCAGAAAAGAACAUCAAGUGUUGAUGGUGAAUAAAACCACUAAGUUCAAGAAGGGCAAGGGUAAGAAGAACUUCAAGAAGGACGGCAAGGGAGUUGCCGCGCCCGGUAAGCCAGUUACUGGGAAGAGGUCGAAGAAUGGACCCAAGCCUGAGACUGAGUGCUUUUAUUGCAAGGGAAGUGGUCACUAGAAGCGGAACUGCCCCAAAUACUUAGCGGACAAGAUGGCCGGCAACGCCAAAGGUAUAUGUGAUAUACAUGUAAUUGAUGUGUACCUUACCAGUACUCGUAGUAGAUCUUGGGUAUUUGAUACCGGUGCGGUUGCUCAUAUUUGUAACUCAAAACAGGAACUACGGAAUAAACAGAGACUGGCGAAGGACGAGGUGACGAUGCGCGUCGGGAAUGGUUCCAAGGUUGAUGUGAUCGCUGUCGGCACGCUACCUCUGCAUCUACCUACGAGAUUAGUUUUAAACCUCAAUAAUUGUUAUUUAGUGACGGCUUUGAGCAUGAACAUUGCAUCUGGAUCUCGUUUAAUUCGAGAUGGCUACUCAUUUAAAUCCGAGAAUAAUGGUUGUUCUAUUUAUAUGAGAGAUAUGUUUUAUGGUCAUGCCCCGCUGGUUAAUGGUUUAUUCUUGAUGAAUCUGGAAUGUGAUGUUACACAUAUUCAUAGUGUGAAUACCAAAAGAUGUAAAGUUGAUAACGAUAGUCCCACAUACUUGUGGCACUGCCGCCUUGGUCACAUUGGUGUCAAGCGCAUGAAGAAGCUCCAUGAAGAUGGACUUUUGGAGUCUCUUGAUUACGAAUCAUUUGACACGUGCGAACCAUGCCUCAUGGGUAAGAUGACCAAGACUCCGUUCUCCGGAACAAUGGAGCGAGCAACCAACUUAUUGGAAAUCAUACAUACCGAUGUGUGCGGUCCAAUGAGUGUUGAAGCUCGCGGAGGAUAUCGUUAUGUUCUCACUCUCACUGAUGACUUAAGUAGAUAUGGGUUUGUCUACCUAAUGAAACACAAGUCUGAAACCUUUGAAAAGUUCAAGGAAUUUCGGAGUGAGGUUGAGAAUCAACGUGACAGGAAAAUAAAAUUCUUACAAUCAGAUCGUGGUGGAGAAUAUUUAAGUCACGAAUUUGGUGCGCACUUAAGGAAAUGUGGAAUCGUUUCACAACUCACGCCGCCUGGAACACCUCAGCGAAACGGUGUGUCCGAACGUCGUAAUCGCACUCUAUUGGAUAUGGUGCGAUCUAUGAUGUCUCUUACCGAUUUACCGCUCUCAUUUUGGGGCUAUGCUUUAGAGACUGCCGCAUUCACUUUAAAUAGGGCUCCGUCGAAAUCCGUUGAGACGACACCGUAUGAAUUAUGGUUUGGGAAGAAACCUAAGCUGUCGUUUCUAAAAGUUUGGGGAUGCGAUGCUUAUGUCAAGAAACUUCAACCUGAAAAGCUCGAACCCAAGUCGGAGAAAUGCGUCUUCAUAGGAUACCCUAAGGAAACCAUUGGGUACACCUUCUACCUCAGAUCCGAAGGCAGGAUCUUCGUUGCCAAGAACGAGUCCUUUCUGGAGAAGGAGUUUCUCUCGAAAGAAUUGAGUGGGAGGAAAGUGGAACUUGAUGAGGUGAUAGUCACCCCUUCCGAACCGGAAAGUAGCGCAGCGCGGGAAGAUGUUCCUGUGGUGCCUACACCGACUGGGGAGGAAGUUAAUGAUGAUGAUCAUGAAGCUUCGGAUCAAGUUACUACUGAACUUCAUAGGUCCACAAGGACACGUUCCACACCAGAGUGGUACGGCAACCCUGUCCUGGAAAUCAUGUUGUUAGACAACGGUGAACCUUCGAACUAUGAAGAAGCGAUGGCGGGCCCGGAUUCCGACAAAUGGCUAGAAGCCAUGAAAUCCGAGAUAGGAUCCAUGUAUGAAAACGAAGUAUGGACUUUGACUGACUUGCCCGAUGAUCGGCGAGCCAUAGAAAACAAAUGGAUCUUUAAGAAGAAGACGGACGCGGAUGGUAAUGUGACCAUCUACAAAGCUCGACUUGUCGCUAAGGGUUAUCGACAAGUUCAAUGGGUUGACUACGAUGAGACUUUCUCACCCGUGGCGAAGCUGAAGUCCGUCCGAAUCAUGUUAGCAAUUGCCCAUACUAUGAUUAUGAGAUAUGGCAGAUGGACGUCAAAACGACAUUCCUUAACGGCUUCCUUAAGGAAGAGUUGUAUAUGAUGCAGCCGGAAGGUUUUGUCGAUCCUAAGAAUGCUAACAAAGUAUGCAAGCUCCAGCGCUCAAUCUAUGGGCUGGUGCAAGCAUCUCGGAGUUGGAACAUUCGCUUUGAUGAGAUGAUCAAAGCGUUUGGGUUUACACAGACUUAUGGAGAAGCCUGUGUUUACAAGAAAGUGAGUGGGAGCUCUGUAGCAUUUCUCAUAUUAUAUGUGGAUGACAUAUUAUUGAUGGGAAAUGAUAUAGAAUUCUUGGAAAGUAUAAAGGCCUAUUUGAAUAAGUGUUUUUCAAUGAAGGACCUUGGAGAAGCUGCUUAUAUAUUAGGCAUCAAGAUCUAUAGAGAUAGAUCAAGACGCCUCAUUGGUCUUUCACAGAGUACAUACCUUGACAAGAUAUUGAAGAAGUUCAAUAUGGAUCAGUCCAAGAAGGGGUUCUUGCCUGUAUUGCAAGGUGUGCAAUUGAGCACGGCUCAAUGCCCGACCACGGCAGAAGAUAGAGAAAAGAUGAGUGUCAUCCCCUAUGCCUCGGCCAUAGGGUCUAUUAUGUAUGCCAUGCUGUGUACCAGACCUGAUGUAAACCUUGCCGUAAGUUUGGUAGGAAGGUACCAAAGUAAUCCCGGCAUGGAACACUGGACAGCGGUCAAGAAUAUCCUGAAGUACCUAAAGAGGACUAAGGAUAUGUUUCUCGUUUAUGGAGGUGACGAAGAGCUCGUCGUAAAGGGUUACGUCGACGCUAGCUUCGACACAGAUCUGGAUGACUUGAAGUCACAAACCGGAUACAUGUAUAUUUUGAAUGGAGGAGCAGUAAGCUGGUGCAGUUGCAAGCAAAGCGUCGUGGCGGGAUCUACAUGUGAAGCGGAGUACAUGGCAGCCUCGGAGGCAGCGCAGGAAGCAGUCUGGAUGAAGGAGUUCAUUACCGACCUAGGGGUGAUUCCCAAUGCGUCGGGCCCGAUGACUCUCUUCUGUGACAACACUGGAGCUAUUGCCCUUGCGAAGGAGCCCAGGUUUCACAGGAAGACCAGGCAUAUCAAGCGUCGUUUCAACUCCAUAUGUUAAAGUGUUCAAAAUGGAGACAUAGAUAUUUGUAAAGUACAUACGGACCUGAAUGUAGCAGAUCCGUUGACUAAAUCUUUCCCUAGAGCAAAACAUGAUCAACACGAGGACGCAAUGGGUGUUCGAUUCAUCACAAUGUAGCUAGAUUAUUGACUCUAGUGCAAGUGGGAGACUGUUGGAAAUAUGCCCUAGAGGCAAUAAUAAAUGGUUAUUAUUAUAUUUCUUUGUUCAUGGUAAUUGUCUAUUGUUCAUGCUAUAAUUGUAUUGUCCGGAAAUCGUAAUACAUGUGUGAAUACAUAGACCACAACGUGUCCCUAGUAAGCCUCUAGUUGACUAGCUCGUUGAUCAACAGAUAGUCAUGGUUUCCUGACUAUGGACAUUGGAUGUCAUUGAUAACGGGAUCACAUCAUUAGGAGAAUGAUGUGAUGGACAAGACCCAAUCCUAAGCAUAGCAUAAAAGAUCGUGUAGUUUCGUUUGCUAGAGCUUUUCCAAUGUCAAAUAUCUUUUCCUUAGACCAUGAGAUCGUGCAACUCCCAGAUACCGUAGGAGUGCUUUGGGUGUGCCAAACGUCACAACGUAACUGGGUGACUAUAAAGGUGCACUACGGGUAUCUCCGAAAGUGUCUGUUGGGUUGGCAUGGAUCGAGACUGGGAUUUGUCACUCCGUGUGACGGAGAGGUAUCUCUGGGCCCACUCGGUAAUGCAUCAUCAUAAUGAGCUCUAUGUGACUAAGGCAUUAGUCACGGGAUCAUGCAUUGCGGUACGAGUAAAGAGACUUGCCGGUAACGAGAUUGAACAAGGUAUUGGGAUACCGACGAUCGAAUCUCGGGCAAGUAACAUACCGAUUGACAAAGGGAAUUGCAUACGGGAUUGAUUGAAUCCUCGACAUCGUGGUUCAUCCGAUGAGAUCGUCGUGGAACAUGUGGGAGCCAACAUGGGUAUCCAGAUCCCGCUUUUGGUUAUUGACCGGAGAGGCGUCUCGGUCAUGUCUGCAUGUCUCCCGAACCCGUAGGCGUCUCGGUGACGCUAGGGUUGUAAAGAUAUGUGUAUGCGGAAACCCGAAAGUUGUUCGGAGUCCCAGAUGAGAUCCCGGACGUCACGAGGAGUUCCGGAAUGGUCCGGAGGUGAAGAAUUAUAUAUAGGAAGUCAAGUUUCGGCCAUCGGGAAAGUUUCGGGGGUUACCGGUAUUGUACCGGGACCACCGGAAGGGUCCCGGGGGUCCACCGGGUGGGGCCACCUAUCCCGGAGGGCCUCGUGGGCUGAAGUGGGAAGGGAACCAGCCCCUAGUGGGCUGGGCGCCCCCCAUGGGCCUCCCCCCUCCGCCUAGGGUUGGAAACCCUAGGGUGGGGGGCGCCCCACUUGCCUUGGGGGGCAAGUAUCCCCCCUGGCCGCCGCCCCCCCAUCCAGAUGGGAUCCUGGCCGGCGCCCCCCCUCCCAGGGGGCCUAUAUAAAGGGGUGGAUGGAGGGCAGCAACAUUACAGCCUUGGGCGCCUCCCUCCUCCCCUGCUACACCUCUCUCUCUCGCAGAAGCUCGGCGAAGCCCUGCCGACAUCCUGCUACAUCCACCACCACGCCGUCGUGCUGCUGGAUCUCCAUCAACCUCUCCUCCCCCCUUGCUGGAUCAAGAAGGAGGAGACGUCGCUGCACCGUACGUGUGUUGAACGCGGAGGUGCUGUCCGUUCAGCACUCGGUCAUCGGUGAUUUGAAUCACGGCGAGUACGACUCCGUCAUCCACGUUCAUUGGAACGCUUCCGCUCGCGAUCUACAAGGGUAUGUAGAUGCACUCCUUUCCCCUCGUUGCUAGUAUACUCCAUAGAUGCAUCUUGGUGAGCGUAGGAAAAUUUUAAAAUUAUGCUACGAUACCCAACAGCCACUAGUGAAACCUAUGGCCCCUGGGUCUCUUUCUUAUUAUAUUGCAUCUCUUUUAUUUACAUCGCAUCUCGUUUACUAUUUUGCAAUCUUUACUUUCCAAUCUAUACAACAAAAAUACCAAAAAUAUUUAGUUUACUAUCUUUAUUAGAUCUCACUUUUGCGAGUGACCAUGAAGGGAUUGACAACCCCUUUAUCGCGUUGGUUGCAAGGUUCUUGAUUGUUUGUGCAGGUACUAGGUGACUUGUGCAUUGUCUCCUACUGGAUUGAUACCUUGGUUCUCAAAACUGAGGGAAAUAUUUACGCUACUUUGCUGCAUCACCCUUUCCUCUUCAAGGGAAAACCAACACAUGCUCAAGAGGUAGCAUACCCCUUUGCCAAACUCAUGGCAAGGUACACAAUAGGUCUGGUACACAGCAUAGCAUACUUUAUAGAACCUAUGGCUGAGGCAUAGGGAAUGACUUUCAUUCUCUUUCUAUUUUCUGCCGUGGUAGUGUUUUGAGUCUUACUCAACUUCAUACCUUACAACUCAGGCAAGAACUCCUUCUUUGACUGAUCCAUUUUGAACUCCUUCAAAAUCUUAUCAAAGUAUGUACUCAUCGAAAGUCUUAUCAAGCGUCUUGAUCUAUCUUUAUAGAUCUUGAUGCCCAAUAUGUAAGUAGCUUCACUGAGGUCUUUCUUUGAAAAAUCCUUUCAAACACUCCUUUAUACUUUCCAGAAAAUUCUACAUCAUUUCCGAUCGACAAUAUGUCAUUCACAUAUACUUACCAAAAAUGCUGUAGUGCUCCCACUCACUUUCUUGUAAAUACAAGUUUCACCGCAAGUCUGUAUAAAACUAUAUGCUUUGAUCAACUCAUCAAAGCAUAUAUUCCAACUCCGAGAUGCUUGCACCAGUCCAUAGAUGGAUCGCUGGAGCUUGCAGACUUUGUUAGCACUUUUAGGAUUGAGAAAACCUUCUGUUUGCAUCAUAUACAACUCUUCUUUAAUAAAUCCAUUAAGGAAUGCAGUUUUUGACAUCCAUUUGCCAGAUUUCAUAAAAUGCGGCAAUUGCUACCAUGAUUCGGACAGACUUUAAGCAUAGAUACGAGUGAGAAACUCUCAUCGUAGUCAACACCUUGAACUUAUUGAAAACCUUUUCCGACAAUUCGAGCUUUGUAGAUAGUAACACUACUAUCAGCGUUCGUCUUCCUCUUGAAGAUCCAUUUAUUCUCAAUGGCUUGCCGAUCAUUGGGCAAGUCAAUCAAAGUCCACACUUUGUUCUCAUACAUGGAUCCCAUCUCAGAUUUCAUGGCCUCAAGCCAUUUCGCGGAAUCUGGGCUCAUCAUCGCUUCCUCAUAGUUCGUAGGUUCGUCAUGGUCUAGUAACAUGACUUCCGAAACAGGAUUACCGCACCACUCUGGUGCGGACUGUACUCUGGUUAACCUAAGAGGUUCGGUAGUAACUUGAUCUGAAGUUUCAUGAUCAUCAUCAUUAGCUUCCUCACUAAUUGGUGUAGGAAUCACUGGAACUGAUUUCUGUGAUGAACUACUUUCCAAUUCGGGAGAAGGUACAAUCAAGUUCUACUUUCCUCCCACUCACUUCUUUCGAGAGAAACUCUUUCUCUAGAAAGGAUCCAUUCUUAGCAACGAAUAUCUUGCCUUCGGAUCUGUGAUAGAAGGUGUACCCAACAGUUUCCUUUGGGUAUUCUAUGAAGACACAUUUCUCCGAUUUGGGUUCGAGCUUAUCAGGUUGAAGCUUAUUCACAUAAGCAUCGCAGCCCCAAACUUUAAGAAACGACAGCUUAGGUUUCUUUCCAAACCACAGUUCAUAUGGUGUCGUCUCAACGGAUUAGAUGGUGCCCUAUUUAACGUGAAUGCAGUUGUCUCUAAUGCAUAACCCCAAAACGAUAGUGGUAAAUCGGUAAGAGACAUCAUAUAUCGCACCAUAUCCAAUAAAUACGGUUAUGACGUUGGGACACACCAUUACGCUGUGGUGUUCCAGGUGGCGUGAGUUGUGAAACUUAUUCCACAUUGUUUUAGAUGAAGGCCAAACUCGUAACUCAAAUAUUCUCCUCCAUGAUCAGAUGGUAGAAACUUUAUUUUCUUGUUACGAUGAUUCUCCACUUCACUCUGAAAUUCUUUGAACUUUUCAAAUGUUUCAGACUUGUGUUUCAUUAAGUAGAUAUACCCAUAUCUGCUCAAAUCAUCUGUGAAGGUAAGGAAAUAACGAUACCCGUCGCAAGCCUCAACACUCAUAGGACCGUAUACAUCGGUAUGUAUUAUUUCCAAUAAGUCAUUGGCUCGCUCCAUUUUACGGAAAACAGAGUUUUAGUCAUCUUGCCCAUGAGGCAUGGUUCGCAUGUAUCAAAUGAUUCAUAAUCAAGUGAUUCCAAAAGUCCAUCUGCAUGGAGUUUCUUCAUGCGCUUUACACCAAUAUGACCUAAAUGGUAGUGCACUAAAUAUGUUGCACUAUCAUUAUCAACUUUGCAUAUUUUGGCAUCAAUAUUAUGUGUAUCACUGCAAUCGAGAUUCAGUAAACCAUUUACAUUGGAUGUAAGACCAUAGAAGGUUUUAUUCAUGUAAAUAGAACAACAAUUAUUCUCUGACUUAAAUGAAUAACCGUAUCGCAAUAAACAUGAUCCAAUCAUAUUCAUGCUCAACGCAAACACCAAAUAACAUUUAUUUAGUUCCAAUACUAAUCCCGAAGGUAGAGGGAGUAUGCGAUGGUGAUCUUAUCAACCUUGGAAUCAUUUCCAACACACAUCGUCACCUCGCCCUCAACUAGUCUCUAUUCAUUUUGUAACUCAUGUUUCGAGUUACUAAUCAUAGUAACUGAACCGGUAUCAAAUACCCAGGGGCUACUAUGAACACUAGUAAAGUACACAUCAAUAACAUGUAUAUCAUAUAUACUUUUGUUCACUUUGCCAUCCUUCUUAUCCGCCAAGUAUUUGGGGCAGUUCCGCUUCCAGUGACCAUUUCCUUUGCAGUAGAAGCACUCAGUUUCAGGCUUGGGUCUAGCUUUGGGCUUCUUUAUGGGAGUGGCAACUUGCUUGCCAUUCUUCUUGAAGUUCCCUUUCUUUCCUUUGCCCUUUUACUUGAAACUAAUGGUCUUGUCAACCAUCAACACUUGAUGCUUUUCUUGAUUUCUAUCUUUGUCGGUUUCAGCAUCGCGAAGAGCUUGGGAAUCGUUUUUGUCAUCCCUUGCAUAUUAUAGUUUAUCACAAAGUUCCAGUAACUUGGUGAUAGUGACUAGAGAACUCUAUCAAUCACUAUCUUAUCUGGAAGAUUAACUCCUACUUGAUUCAAGCGAUUGUAGUACUGAGACAUUCUAAGCACAUGCUCACUGGUUGAGCUAUUCUCCUCCAUCUUGUAGGCAAAAUACUUGUCAGAGAUCUCAUACCUCUCGACUCGGGAAUUAGUCUAAAAAUACCAAUUUCAGCUCUUGGAACAUCUUAUAUGCUCCGUGGCAUUCAAAACGUUUUUGAAGUCCCGGUUCUAAGCCGUAAAGCAUGGCGCACUAAACUAUCAAGUAGUCAUCAUACCGAGCUUGCCAAAUGUUCAUAACGUCUGCAUCUGCUCCUGCAAUAGGUCCGUCACCUAGCGGUGCAUCAAGGACAUAAUUCUUCUGUGCAGCAAUGAGGAUAAUCCUCAGAUCACGGACCCAGUCCGCAUCAUUGUACUAUCAUCUUUCAACUUAUAUUUCUCUAGGAACAUAUAAAAAAUAAACGGGGAGCUACAUCGCAAGCUAUUGAUCUAUGACAUAUCAAAUACUAUCAGGACUAAAUUUAUGAUAAAUUAAAGUUCAAUUAAUCAUAUCACUUAAGAACUCCCACUUAGAUAGAUAUCCCUCUAGUCAUCUAAAUGAUCACGUGAUCCAUAUCAACUAAUAAACCAUGUCCGAUCAUCACGUGAGAUGGAGUAGUUUUCAAUGGUGAACAUCUCUAUGUUGAUCAUAUCUACUAUAUGAUUCACGUUCGACCUUUCGGUCUCAGUGUUCCGAGGCCAUAUCUGCAUAUGCUCGGCUCGUCAAGUUUAACCCGAUUAUUCUGCACGUGCAAAACUGGCUUGCACCAGUUGUACGUGAACGUAGAGCUUAUCACACCCGAUCAUCACGUGGUGUCUCGGCACGAUGAACUGUAGCAACGGUGCAUACUCAGGGAGAACACUUAUACCUUGAAAUUUAGUGAGGGAUCAUCUUAUAAUGCUACCGCCGAACUAAGCAAAAUAAGAUGCAUACAGGAUAAACAUCACAUGCAAUCAAAAUAUGUGACAUGAUAUGGCCAUCAUCAUCUUGUGCCUUUGAUCUCCAUCUCCAAAGCACCGUCAUGAUCUCCAUCGUCACCGGCUUGGCACCUUGAUCUCCAUCAUAGCGUCGUUGUCGUCUCGCCAAUUGUUGCUUCCACGACUAUCGCUACCGGUUAGUGAUAAAGUAAAGCAAUUACAUGGCGAUUGCAUUUCAUACAAUAAAGCGACAACCAUAAGGCUCCUGCCAGUUGCCGAUAACUUUUACAAAACAUGAUCAUCUCAUACAACAAUUUAUAUCUCAUCAUGUCUUCACCAUAUCACAUCACAACAUGCCCUGCAAAAACGAGUUAGACGUCCUCUACUUUGUUGUUGCAAGUUUUACGUGAAUGCUACGGGCUUCUACCAAGAACCGUUCUUACCUAUGCAUCAAAACCACAAUGAUUUUUCGUCAAGUGUGCUGUUUUAACGUUCAACAAGGACCGACCGUAGUCAAACUCGAUUCAACUAAAGUUGGAGAAACAGACACCCGCUAGCCACCUGUGUGUGAAGCACGUCGGUAAAACCAGUCUCAUGAACACGGUCACGUAAUGUCGGUCCGGGCCGCUUCAUCCAACAAUACCGCCGAAUCAAAGUAAGACAUUGGUGGUAAGCAGUAUGACUAUUAUCGCCCACAACUCUUUGUGUUCUACUCGUGCAUAUCUACGCAUAGACCUGGCUCGGAUGCCACUUUUGGGGAACGCGGUAUUUUAAAAAAUUUCCUACGAUCACGCAAGAUCUAUCUAGGAGAUGCAUAGCAACGAGACGGGAGAGUGUGUCCACGUACCCUCGUAGACCGAAAGCGGAAGCGUUUAGUAACGCGGUUGAUGUAGUCGAACGUCUUCACGAUCCAACCGAUCCAAGCACCGAACGUACGGCACCUCCGUGUUCAUCACACGUUCAGCACGAUGACGUCCCUCGAGCUCUUGAUCCAGUUGAGGACGAGGGAGAGUUCCGUCAGCAUGACGGCAUGGCGACGGUGAUGAUGAAGUUACCGGUGCACGGCUUCGCCUAAGCACUACGACGAUAUGACCGAGGUGUUAAACUGUGGAGGGAGGCACCGCACACGGCUAAGAGAUUGUCUGUUGUGCUUUGGGGUGCCCCCUUGCCCACUUAUAUAAAGGAGGGGGAAGGAGGCCGACCAAGGAGGAGGCGCGCCAAGGGGGGGGAGUCCUACUAGGACUCCAAACCUAGUAGGAUUCGCCCCCCUUUCCUUCCAACGGAGAGGGGGAAAGGGGAAAGGAGGGAGAGGUAGAAGGAAAGAGGGGGGUCGCGCCCCUUCCCCUUGUCCAAUUUGGAUUGGGGAAAGGGGGGCAUGACCCACCUCUUGUGGCCUGCCUCCUCUCCUCCACUAUGGCCCAUUAGGCCCAAUAACUUUCCCGGGGGGUUCCGAUAGCCUCCCGGUACUCCGAUAAAUCCCCGAACUUUAUCGGAACCAUUCCGAUGUCCGUAUAUAACCUUCCAUAUAUCAAUCUUUACCUCUCGACCAUUUCGAGACUCCUCGUCAUGUCCGUGAUCUCAUCCUGGACUCAGAACAAACUUCGGUCAUCAAAUCACAUAACUCAUAAUACAAAUCAUCAUCGAACGUUAAGCGUGCGGACCCUACGGGUUCGAGAACUAUGUAGACAUGACCGAGACACAUCUCCGGUCAAUAACCAAUAGCGGAACCUGGAUGCUCAUAUUGGCUCCUACAUAUUCUAAGAAGAUCUUUAUCAGUCAAACCGCAUAAUAGCAUACGUCAUUCCCUUUGUCAUCGGUAUGUUACUUGCCCAAGAUUCGAUCGUCGGUAUCAUCAUACCUAGUUCAAUCUCGUUACCAGCAAGUCUCUUUACUCGUUCCGUAAUGCAUCAUCCCACAAAUAACUCAUUAGUCACAUUGCUUGCAAGGCUUAUAGUGAUGUGCAUUACCGAGAGGGCCCAGAGAUACCUCUCUGAUACACAGAGUGACAAAUCCUAAUCUCAAUCUAUGCCAACUCAACAAACACCACCGGAGACACCUGUAGAGCGUCUUUAUAGUCACCCAGUUACGUUGUGACGUUUGAUAGCACACAAAGUGUUCCUUCGGUAUUCGGGAGUUGCAUAAUCUCAUAGUCAGAGGAAUAUGUAUAAGUCAUGAAGAAAGCAAUAGCAAUAAUACUUAACUAUCAUUAUGCUAAGCUAACGGAUGGGUCUUGUCCAUCACAUCAUUCUCUAAUGAUGUGAUCCCGUUCAUAAAAUGACAACACAUGUCUAUGGUUAGGAAACUUAACCAUCUUUGAUUAACGAGCUAGUCAAGUAGAGGCAUACUAGGGACACUCUGUUUUGUCUAUGUAUUCACACAUGUACUAAGUUUCCUGUUAAUACAAUUCUAGCAUGAAUAAUAAACAUUUAUCAUGAUAUAAGGAAAUAUAAAUAACAACUUUAUUAUUGCCUCUAGGGCAUAUUUCCUUCAAAAACUAGACCAUCUUGAGGUAGAGGAGGCAUCAUAAACAUAAAACGAUACUCACUCCGUCUCGGUUUAUAGGGCGUGCACGUAGUUCUUGGUCAUCCAUUUGACAAAUUAAAUAUGAUUUAUAUGUCACAAAAAGUAUAUCAUUGGAUUCUUAAGCAGAUGUGGUUUUUAAACAUAUAUUUUUCAUCACAUAUAAUACAUAUAUAUAUAUAGCUAGUUAAAUUCUCAACCUAGAACGACGUACAUGCCCUGUAAACCGAGACGGAGGAAAUACGAGAGUGAAUGAGUGUCCUCACCAGUAGUAAUGACUAGUUGAACAUUAAACUCGUAUUGUGGGUCUGUGGCCAAGAGGUAACUUAAUUUUUGUUAUCGCAAAAAAGAAGCUAAAUACUUUAAACACACGAACCAGUACGAACCAAAAUGAACAAACUUCAUGUUUUUGUUGCAAUUAGUUACCAUUUUCAGUGCUCAGGACAGCUAAACAAAAGGAAAGUGCUAUACCUGCACCUCGGCGCGAGUCCCGCAAGCGAAACACACCGGUCGAGAGACCUCGGAAGAAGAAGAAAACCUCCGGCCACCCCGAAACUACCCUCGAUGACCUCCUGGAUAAACCAUGCCCAAUACAUGCUAUUAUGCUCAAUUCCCGCCCGACUCACAGCCUUCGCGACUGCUGGGUUGUGAGGUAGGUGGCUAAAGGAGGACCCGCCCUUCUGGUAGACAGCCCCAGCCACGCAGAAUAGUCCUCGGACGAAGACGAGGUCAUGAUGAUUUACGAGACCUUCACAUCCAACAACCGGCGCAAAUGAGCCAUGCGGGAAAUCAAUUCUAUCCGACAGGUGCCAACUCGGGGCGCGUGAAUAGACACGCCGAUCACCUUUGAUCACAAAGAUCAACCGAGGUCGACCCUGAACAGGUGCCCCACCGCACUGGUCCUCAACCCAAUUGUGGGUAGCUGCUGACUUCGGAAGGUGCUCAUGGACGAAGGCAGCAGCUUAAAUUUGAUAUGUGCAGACACUCUGGACAAAAUGCAUAUCGAUAAAUCACGCAUAGAACAGAGUGGCACCGUCCGCUGGUUGCUUGUGUUGUUGGUUGAUGUUUGACCUCUAUAGAAGAGACAAAAAAGUGAUCAUGCUUCCUUUAAUUCGACGUUUUUUCAUCGUACGUGAGCUCUUUUCUUUGAUAUUUUUAAUAAUGCACAUGACCUGGUGACUUGCGAUUUUUUUUCUUUUCGAGCCCGGCCACGUGUAGUCCUUGUUGACCUUUUGUUUUUGCGCGGACGGGGCCGAAGGCCAUGCUGCAGUAGUAAAUCACGUGAUGUGCACCGCGACCAAGAUGGAGGGGAAAACGAGAGAACUUAAUGUCUUUUUGCUAAUUAAUAGUAUUGCAUGCAAUGGACUAACAACUGCAUGUCAUGUUUGUUAGUCUCAAGUCACAAAAAGCAUGUACAUCCCACAUCUCUUAUUGGUUGAUAUGUCGUGGAACAAGAAAAGAGGAGGGAGUUUAUGUACCGUGUCUAAAUGUUUUGGAAUUAUUUGGUUUCGUAAGGUGACUUGUACGCCUAGACGGAGGGAGUACUAGAAUUAUCGACUGCACCUUGGAGUUUUCCCACGCGUUGCUUGAUUCCAGUGGAUGAGAAAAUUCUGUGGAUUUGUAGUAGCCCUGCUUGCACCUUGGAACUUGGUCUUGUGAGGUCAGCUUGUUAGAAAUAAUACUUUAGGAUUAUUGUAAUAGGAUCAUUUGCCUAGCAUUAGAUCACCCAGAUAUGAUUAACAGAGUGGUUCGUGAGAUCUUACAGGCUCUCUCGUUGCAGGCACAGCGUGGCCCAUGAUCUCCAGUGGCGAGGAUGAGCAACAGCAGUGGUGCUGCAGUGAUGUAGUUGUGGAGAGACAGCCGCUCAUCCAGGAGCUUCGCCGGUGGCAGCAGGAAGCCGCCGGCACAGCCCUGCGGCGGCCGGCGAGAUGGCCUUCUGAUCCCCGUUAGCACCCUUUUAGGAUAGGUUGUUAGGAGUCGUGGUUUUUUGGUAUGUGUGUAUCAGAGCCCUUCAUGGGUACGACUUCCUCCUUUUAUAUCUGGCGCUAGGUGGAUCAGGGACCAAAACCAAAAGUCGGGUAUGGGUGCAUCCGAUCAGACCACAAUCGUUAGAGGAGGAGACUUUGUCUCCCAUAUUUUUCUCUCGGUUAAAAACAAUAACCUGAGAUCAAUCCCAACAUUCUCCCCCUUGACCGUAAGGUUAAUAAACAUCAUAAGCCCACUCUCAAUAGAAAUAAUAUACCAAAGUAAGGUGUUGCAAUGCCCCAAAAAAUGUCACUGAACCUCAACCCUUAUAGUAUACCAUUCUAUCUUGAAAUGGAUACCAUUUUACUUUAUGGGAGUUGGUUUAUUUAAUGGUCCUAAUUUCCAGGAUCAAACGGCUUUAUGAACCCAUGCCGACAACAUAAUCAUAAAAUGGGUAAAUGGUAAGCCUUAGUAAGUGGAACCGCAAAAGCUUAGAAAUAAAAUCUUAUGUUUGAUCCUGGCCUCUAUCUUUCACAACAGAGACAUAAUGUCAAUGGCUUUGGCAAUACCAUUUAACUUGUUGUUACUCGCAUAGAAAAUUGCGUGUUCAUAUUGCAGUAAGUGGUUACAAAAUGCUGUCUACCACCAUAAUUUCUUGAAUAAAGCUUCUUGACAUACAAUCUGCCCAAUAGCCUCUUAACAUGCCACAUAAGAAAGUGCAUUACUUCUAAUGCCAUUAGUGUCAUUAUAGAGCUUUUCCACGAUAUACUUCCAUAUGCGAGAGUGAGGAUGUAACAUAGCGUGGAAACUUUAAGAUCCACACAUCUUGCAGAAACAAUGUCUGAAUAUCCUAGGAUAUCGAAGUUAUUAGUGAGCAUGCAAACUUUAUUGUCUUGCAUGUCAGCAAGACAUUGGGUGGCUUUUCUAGUGGCCAUUUCUGGACUUACUUGUAUGUUUGCCAAUUAUCCCGAUCACAAACAAGGGCAUGUUCAUAGUUGAAUACACAUAUUGCUUCUGACAGCUGAAGCAUAAGGAACCGACAUUAUCUGAUCAGUUCAUAAUGGUCCCUUGGACACUAAAAUGUCCACCUUUAUUGCCCUUGACUUUAGUAGCAGGUGCGAUAAGAGUACUAGCACAUAAUAUUUUCUUUCGUACUCUAUCGAUGUAUGUCAUCAUAACAAAGCUACACUCCUUUUCGACCUAUAUCUUGGUGAAAUUCAACACAAGCAAAAUAUGAGGCAUCACCAAGAUAAUUUAUGUCGUAAAUAGAAGAUAGAAAUUUUUGGCUCACAAAAAAUAUUCCAUCUUCACAAGGUAGUGAUCUUACUCCCCCUCGUUUUAUAGUAUGAGUGUCCCAACGCUUGUAUUAUCUCAUAAUUGUAUUUCUUUAGAUAACAUACCUUAUGUCAACUUCAACCAUGACAAAACCGUAUGGUUGAGUCAUACAUACAUUCUCAACUAAGUCAACACAAGAGCAUGUCAUAGUAAUAACACAAGCGGCACAACAACUCACUAAGAAAAUUCUAUGGAGUUCCAUACAUCAUUAGAGCUCAUAAUCUUCAUCCUAUAUGGCAACAAGCCACUAAGAUGAUCAUUCACACACAUUAUCAAUCAUAGGGAAAUUGGUGAGUCUCAACACCAAGUGUUGCUUUAGGUAUUUUUCUCUCAAUUUACCUGAUGCAUAUGAACAAAGAUCUAAUGGAGUUAUCCUUAAGAUUAAUGUUCAAAUGCUCCAGGUUCCCUGAUGAUCACUUUAUUUAGAAGAUGGAAAAUAUAUCCAAAAUCUUGAUAACAAUCAUCUCAGUUCUAAACCACAACACCGUUGGGCUGAAGAUGGAAAAGAACAUAAUGAACUGUGACAAAUGAUUAUAAACGAUGUUAGUCAGAAAUAUAACCACAAGACACAUGAUACUGACAAACUUGCCUCUUGGGUGAAGUGUCACAUAUGAUUAUAACCGACGUUGGUCAGAUAUAUAAUCAACAUGUUACAUCAUGAUGGUACUUAGACUAGCAAGCUUGCCACUUUAGCAUUCAUGUGUGCUUCGUAAUGCUCAUAAGGGACUAAGUACACACUAACAUGAUAAAGAAGUCAUUUUUUAUUCAUUCUUCUAAAUAAGACUUGUUGCAUCUUAAUUAGAGAACCAACAUUAGAAAGUGCUUUUCAUACAUUCUCCAACCAAGACUUCUCGUUGGUUCCAUCUUAAUUAGAGAAUUGAGAUACAUAUUUUGCUUAGUUGUACAUGCUAUGAUCUAAGUAGGAGAAGUGAAUGUGAUUUCUCAUAUUAAAAGAGACUUCCAUUCUCCCCUUCAAAAUGUGGUGUAAAACCACAAUUUUGAUGAGGCCUCUUUAAUUACACUUCUCUUACAUUGUAACGCCCCGAGACCGAUGCUCCAGAAGACUUUCAGAUGCUCUGAGUUUCGUCGUGUGAUUUGUUUUGUUUGUUGCAUCCCUUGCAUUGCAUCAUGUCAUCAUGCAACCUUUAAAAAAAAACUCAACUGAAUAAAUUGCAUGGAUCUUUGAUCCAUUUAAAUCGAAGGAAAUGCACAUGUUGAUUUCUCUUUACAACAUAUAAAAUCUCCCAAUAUUAUUAGGGAGCUAUAUUAAAAUAUUCCAUUAACUUUGGAAUUAACCAUAACACACUUGCAAAAUAAUUCCGUGCCUUUUCUGCUUCAAGUUUGGUCUCAAAACUCUGCCCUAAAUUCUUUCUUUACUUUCCGGAGCUCCACCAAAAAUCCGAACAUUUUUGGACCUUCCCAACCCUCACUUCCUAUUCAAAUCAUUUGAAUUAAAUUCAAAUGCAUUUGAAUUUAUAUCUUUCAAUCAUGCCACUUCUAUUUUUCCUGGAUCAAGCGCAUUUUUAUGAGCCCGGGAAAAUUAACCGCAUGCGCAAAUCCUUUCUCUAACCUCUCUUUCUUUUUCUUUUCUCUAAUACCAUUCUGCCAAAGAAUCAAGGGAGAGAGAAGAGAGAGACCCCCAGCGCACCCCAGCCGGCCACUUGGGCCUCCUGUAGCUGCAGCCGGUUAGGCCCAGCCGCGCCCCGCUGUAACCCUAGCCUCCCCUACUCGUUCCCCUUCUCCCAUCGAUCUCUCCCUCCUGCGCCAUCACACGCAACACACACAUCGCCAGGGUGAGCCCUGCUCGAUCUCCUCCUUCCUCGAUGCGCCGUCGUAGAGAGAGAGAGAGAGAGAGAGAGAGAGAGCAGAGUCUCGCCUCGCCCGAUCCCCUCUCCCCAUCGUCCUCCUCCUGCGCCGUGACACGCAGAGAGGAGCAGAGCCCCGCGCCGCCCUCUGCCCGAUGGUGUGCCCGCAAGUUCCCCUCCAGCCGGCCACCGGAGCCUGCUCGCUGCCGCCGGGCUUCGCCUCGCCGCGCUGCCCCAGGACGUCGCUCCCCUGCCGUCUCCGGCGCCGCAGCACCGGAGCUGCUCCUUCCCCGCGACCCCGAGCCCCAAGCGUCGCCUCGUCUCCUAUGCUACGCCCGCACCUCGCCUGCGACUUCUCCACGCCGUCGACCUCCAUCGUGCCUCCCUGCUUCGCCCGGCCGCCAUGCUCCAGCGCCGCCUCGAGCUCAUCAUCCUCGACCUCCAUGCCGUCCCGGAGUCCCUCGUCCGCUGCUGUUGUGUCUCUUCGCCGUUUCGUGAGCACAAGAAUCUCUGCCGCCAAGUUCGACUACGAUCCAUCAAGACCAUUGUGUUGCAUGUCAACAUGAGUACGACCACGGACGGCUACCUCCAGAGGGAUUUCGUCAAGUUCCGCUUCAACAAGUGUACCUCUACGUCUGGGAUUCGCCAAGUACCGCACUGGACAUCAAGUACCUCUAUGAACGACACUGGAAGUAUACGAACGUGUACAACUACCAUCCCGUGCAUGUCACCAAGUACCACGACAUCGACGACCCUUCAAGUUAGACUUCGGUUGCCGUGUACACUACCAUUGCCCCGAAGGCGUUGUAUCCGUCAAGUCCCUCUCCGAGACGUGAACCACUACUUCCGCUACCAUCGCGAGAACGUCUACGUCCUCUACAUCGCACCGACGCGUUCCGCCCCGAAUGCACGCUUCGAAGGUAUAACCAACGAGACGAUCACCCGUGGAUCGAAUGCUUUGUUGUAUGAGAUGCUCGCGUUUGCUCCGUGUCCCAGUUGUCGCUUGCGCGUUCCUUGUUUCCAUGCCACCGACAUGUGGGACACCCGGUUGCCGGGAUCACCCCACCAUCUUUUGCAUGUUUCGCACAUCCGCACACUUGCUCUUUUGCACCGGUAUCUCAAUGAGUUAUCGGAUCAUCGGAAUGUUGCCGUGGCACCAUUUUCGUUGUCGUUGUCGUUGUCGUGGCACCCCUUUCGUUCCACCACGGUGACAAAUGCUUCAUAACAUGCUCAUGUCAACAUUUCCAUAAAAUUGCUUAAAACUUGCAUAUGUCAUCCGCAUCAUGUUAACAACAUUUAAAAUUGUUGUUUGCUUUAAAUUGUUAGAUGACAUAUGGGGAUUUUCCGGAAUUGUUGUUUGUUGUUUCCGGCCUCAUUUAAAUUGCCUAAAUAGGUAGUUUUAUUAUGCUUCACCCCUUGCCACGUUUAAUAACAGUUAAUAUUGUUGGGUACAUAAACGAGAGAGAACUAAAUAAUUGAUGUGGUGUUUCGUCAAUAUGCAACUCGUUGCAUAUUGAGCUCCACUUAAUUUGUAGUAUUGUUUGUUGCACUUUGCCAUGCCAUGCCUUUUUAAACCGGACAUGCAUCAUACUUGAUUGUGCAUCAUGCCAUGUUUAUGAUUGUGUGUUUACUAUGUUGUUUGUUUCUUUCCGGGUUGCUUCUCUCGUUAGCUUCGGUUUCGUUCCGGAGUUGUGAGGAUUCGUUCGACUACGUCCGUUUGUCUUCUUCAUGGACUCGUUCUUCUUCCUUGCGGGAUCUCAGGCAAGAUGACCAUACCCUCGAAAUCACUUCUAUCUUUGCUUGCUAGUUGUUCGCUCUAUCGCUAUGUUGCGCUACCUACCACUUGCUAUAUCAUGCCUGUUGGAAAUAUGCCCUAGAGGCAAUAAUAAAUAGGUUAUUAUUAUAUUUCCUUGUUCAUGAUAAUCGUUUAUUAUCCAUGCUAGAAUUGUAUUGAUAGGAAACUCAGAUACAUGUGUGGAUACAUAGACAACACCAUGUCCCUGGUAAGCCUCUAGUUGACUAGCUCGUUGAUCAAUAGAUGGUUACGGUUUCCUGACCAUGGACAUUGGAUGUCGUUGAUAACGGGAUCACAUCAUUAGGAGAAUGAUGUGAUGGACAAGACCCAAUCCUAAGCCUAGCACAAGAUCGUGUAGUUCGUUUGCUCAGAGCUUUUCUAAUGUCAAGUAUCACUUCCUUAGACCAUGAGAUUGUGCAACUCCCGGAUACCGUAGGAAUGCUUUGGGUGUGCCAAACGUCACAACGUAACUGGGUGGCUAUAAAGGUGCACUACGGGUAUCUCCGAAAGUGUCUGUUGGGUUGGCACGAAUCGAGACUGGGAUUUGUCACUCCGUGUAAACGAAGAGGUAUCUCUGGGCCCACUCGGUAGGACAUCAUCAUAAUGUGCACAAUGUGACCAAGGAGUUGAUCACGGGAUGAUGUGAGUUACGGAACGAGUAAAGAGACUUGCCGGUAACGAGAUUGAACAAGGUAUAGGGAUACCGACGAUCGAAUCUCGGGCAAGUAACAUACCGUUAGACAAAGGGAAUUGAAUACGGGAUUGAUUGAAUCCCCGACAUCGUGGUUCAUCCGAUGAGAUCAUCGUGGAACAUGUGGGAGCCAACAUGGGUAUCCAGAUCCCGCUGUUGGUUAUUGACCGGAGAACGUCUCGGUCAUGUCUGCAUGGUUCCCGAACCCGUAGGGUCUACACGCUUAAGGUUCGAUGACGCUAGGGUUAUAGGGAAAGCAUGUACGUGGUUACCGAAUGUUGUUCGGAGUCCCGGAUGAGAUCCCGGACGUCACGAGGAGUUCCGGAAUGGUCCGGAGGUAAAGAUUUAUAUAUGGGAAGUCAUGUUUUGGUCACCGGAAAAGUUUCGGGUGAAAUCGGUAAUGUACCGGGACCACCGGGAGGGUCCCGGGGGUCCACCAAGUGGGGCCACCAGCCCCAGAAGGCUGCGUGGGCCAAGUGUGGGAGGGGACCAGCCCCAGGUGGGCUGGUGCGCCCCCCCACCAAGGCCCAAGGCGCAUGGGAGAGUGGGAGGGGGCAAACCCUAGGUCCAGAUGGGCCUUAGGGCCCAUCUAGUGGGGCGCCUCCCCCUCUCCUCCCCUUGGCCGCCCCCCUUGAUGGGAUCUAGGGCUGGCCGCCUCCUCUUGGGGGUGGAAACCCUAAGGGGGGCGCAGCCCCCUUCCCCCCUAUAUAUACUUGAGGUUUGGGCUGCCAUACACACACGAGAAAGUCUCCUUUUGGUGCAGCCCUACCCCUCUCCCUCCUCCUCCUCUCCCGCGGUGCUUGGCGAAGCCCUGCGGGAUUGCCACGCUCCUCCACCACCACCAUGCCGUCGUGUUGCUGCUGGAUGGAGUCUUUCCCAACCUCUCCCUCUCUCCUUGCUGGAUCAAGGCGUGGGAGACGUCACCGGGCUGCACGUGUGUUGAACGCGGAGGCACCGUACUUUCGGUGCUUAGAUCGGAAUCAACCGCGAUCUGAAUCGCUACGAGUACGACUCCCUCAUCCGCGUUCUUGCAACGCUUCCGCAUCGCGAUCUACAAGGGUAUGUAGAUUCACUCCCCUUCCCCUUGUUGCUAGAUUACUCCAUAGAUUGAUCUUGGUGAUGCGUAGAAAAUUUUGAAUUUCUGCUACGUUCCCCAACAGUGGCAUCAUGAGCCAGGUCUAUGCGUAGUUUCUAUGCACGAGUAGAACACAAAGUAGUUGUGGGCGUUGAUGUUGCCAAUUCUUCUUGCCGCUACUAGUCUUAUCUUGUUUCGGCGGCAUUGUGGGAUGAAGCGGCCCGGACCGACCUCACACGUACGCUUACGUGAGACAGGUUCCACCGACUGACAUGCACUAGAUGCAUAAGGUGGCUAGCGGGUGUCUGUCUCUCCUACUUUAGUCGGAACGGAUUCGAUGAAAAGGGUCCUUAUGAAGGGUAAAUAGAAAUUGGCAAAUCACGUUGUGGUCAUACGUAGGUAAGAAACGUUCUUGCUAGAAACCUACAAACCACGUAAAAAAACUUGCAACAACAAUUAGAGGACGUCUAACUUGUUUUUGCAGCAAGUGCUAUGUGAUGUGAUAUGGCCAGAAGAUGUGAUGAAUGAUAUAUGUGAUGUAUGAGAUUGAUCAUAUUCUUGUAAUAGGAAUCACGACUUGCAUGUCGAUGAGUAUGACAACCGGCAGGAGCCAUAGGAGUUGUCUUUAUUUUUUGUAUGACCUGCGUGUCAUUGAAUAACGCCAUGUAAGUUACUUUACUUUAUUGCUAAGCGCGUUAGCCAUAGAAGUAGAAGUAACCAUUGGCGUGACAACUUCAAGAAGACACAAUGAUGGAGAUCAUGGUGUCAUGCCGGUGACAAAGAUGAUCAUGGUGCCCCGAAGAUGGAGAUCAAAGGAGCAUAAUGAUAUUGGCCAUAUCAUGUCACUAUUUGAUUGCAUGUGAUGUUUAUCAUGUUUUUGCAUCUUAUUUGCUUAGAACGACGGUAGCAAGUAGGAUGAUCCCUUAUAAUAAUUUCAAGAAAGUGUUCACCCUAACUGUGCACCGUUGCGAAGGUUCGUCGUUUCGAAGCACCACGUGAUGAUCGGGUGUGAUAGAUUCUUACGUUCGAAUACAACGGGUGUUGACGAGCCUAGCAUGUACAGACAUGGCCUCGGCACACACGCAAUACACUUAGGUUGACUUGACGAGCCUAGCAUGUACAGACAUGGCCUCGGAACACGGAGGACCGAAAGGUCGAGCAUGAGUCGUAUAGAAGAUACGAUCAACAUGGAGAUGUUCACCGAUCUUGACUAGUCCGUCUCACGUGAUGAUCGGACACGGCCUAGUUGAACUCGGAUCAUGUUUCACUUAGAUGACUAGAGGGAUGUCUAUCUGAGUGGGAGUUCAUAAUCAGAUGAACUUCAUUAUCAUGAACAUAGUCAAAAAAGGUAUUUGCAAAUUAUGUCAUAGCUUGCGCUUUAAGUUCUACUGGUUUAGAUAUGUUCCUAGAGAAAAAUUUAGUUGAAAGUUGGUAGUACAAAUUAUGCGGACUGGGUCCGUAAACUGAGGAUUGUCCUCAUUGCUGCACAGAAGGCUUAUGUCCUUAAUGCACCGCUCGGUGUGCUGAACCUCAGCGUCGUCUGUAGAUGCUGCGGAACAUCUGACAUACACGUUUUGAUAACUACGUGAUAGUUCAGUGCGUAAUGCUAACGGUUUAGAAUUGUGGCACCAAAGACGUUUUGAAACGUCGCAGAACAUAUGAGAUGUUCCGAAGACUGAAAUUGGGAUUUCAGACUAGUGCCCACGUCAAGAGGUAUGAGACCUCUGACAAGUUUCUUAAGCCUGAAGACUAAGGGAGAAAAGCUCAAUCGUUGAGCAUGUGCUCAGAUUGUCUGAGUGCCACAAUCGCUUGAAUCGAGUGGGAGUUUAUCUUCCAGAUGAGAUAGUGAUGGUUCUCCAUAGUCACUGCCACCAAGCUAUUAGAGCUUCGUGAUGAACUAUAACAUAUCAAGGAUAGAUGAUGAUCCUUGAGCAACUCGCGAUGUUUGACACCGCGAAAGUAGAAAUCAAGAAGGAGCAUCAAUUGUUGAUGGUUAAUAAAACCACUAGUUUAAGAAGGGCAAGGGAAAAAGGGAUACUUCAUGAAACAACAAGUCGUUUGCUGCUCUAGUGAAGAAUCCCAAGGUUGAACCCAAACCCGAGACUAAGUGCUUCUGUAAUAAGAGGAACGGUCACUGAAGCAGUACUACCCUAGAUACUUGGUAGAUGAGAAGGCAGGCAAGGUCGACAGAAGUAUAUUGGAUAUACGUUAGAUGAAUGUGUACUUUACUAGUACUCGUAGUAGCACCAGGGUAUUAGAUACUGGUUCGGUUGCUAAGUGUUAGUAACUCGAAAUAAAAGCUGUGGAAUAAAUGGAGACUAGCUAAAGGUGAGAUGACGAUAUGUGUUGGAAAUGUUUCCAAGGUUGAUGUGAUCAAGCAUCGCAUGCUCCCUCUACCAUCGAGAUUUGGUGUUUGCGUUGAGCAUGAUUGGAUUAUGUUUAUCGCAAUACGGUUAUUCAUUUAAGGAGAAUAAUGGUUACUCUGCUUAUUUGAAUAAUACUUUCAAUGGUCUUGCACCUAAAAUAAAUCUCGAUUGUAGUGAUACACAUGUUCGUGCCAAAAGAUGUAAAAUAGUAAUGAUAGUACCACAUACUUGUGGCACUGCAACUUGAGUCAUAUUGGUAUAAAACGCAUGAAGAAGCUCCAUGUAGAUGGAUCUUUGGACUCGCUCGUUUUUGAAAAGAUUGAGACAUGCGAACCAUGUCUAUUGGUAUAUAUGCAUGAAGAAACUCCAUGCAGAUGGAUCGUUUGGACUCACUUGAUUUUGAAUCACUUGAGACAUGCAAAUCAUACCACAUGGGCAAGAUGACUGAAAAGCCUCGUUUUCAGUAAGAUGGAACAAGAGAGCAACUUGUUGGAUGUAAUACAUUUUGAUGUGUGCAGUCCAAUGAGUGCUGAGGCAUGCAGUGGAUAUUGUUAAGUUCUAACUUCACAGAUGAUUUGAGUAGAUGCUGAGUGUAUUUACUUGAUGGAACACAAUUCUGAAUUAUUGAAAGGUUCAAGUAAUUUCAGAGUGAAGUUGAAGAUCGUCGUGACAAGAGGAUAAAAUGUCUGUGAUAUGAUCAUAGAGAUGAGUAUCUGAGUUACGAGUUUGGCACACAAUUAAGACAAUGUGGAAAGUGUUUCACAAUUAAUACCGCCUGGAACACCAUAGUGUGAUGGUGUGUCCGAACAUCACAACUGCACCCUAUUGGAUAUGGUGCACACCAUGAUGUUUCUUAUCAAAUUACCACUAUCGUUUAUGGGUUAGGCAUUAGAGACAACCACAUUCACUUUAAAAGGGCACCACGCAAUUUCGUUGAGACGACACCGUUUAUAGAAACCUAAGUUGUCGUUUCUUAAAAGUUUGGGGCUGCGAUGCUUAUGUGAAAAAGUUUCAAGCUGAUAAGCUCGAACCCAAAGCGGAUAAAUACAUCUUCAUAGAAAACCCAAAACAGUUGGGUGUACCUCCUAUUUCAGAUCUGGAAGCAAAAGUAAUUGUUUCUAGAAAUGAGUCCUUUCUCGAGGAAAAGUUUCUCUCAAAAGAAUUGAGUGGGAGGAUGGUGGAGACUUGAUAAGGUUAUUGAACCGUCACUUCAACUAGUGUGUAGCAGGGCACAGGAAGUUGUUCCUGUGGCACCUACACCAAUUGAAGUGGAAGCUUAUGAUGGUGAUCAUGAAACUUCAGAUCAAGUCACUACCAAACCUCGUAGGACGACGAGGAUGCGUAAUACUUCAGAGUAGUACGUGAUCCUGUCUUGGAAGUCAUGUUGUUGGGCAACGAUGAACCUAUGAGCUAUGGAGAAGCGAUGGUGGGCCCAUAUUCCGACAAAUGGUUAGAAGCCAUGAAAUCCGAGAUAAAUGGAACUUUGAGAAGAAGACGGACGUGGACGGUAAUGUUACCGUCUAUGAAGCUCGACUUGUGGCAAAGAGUAUUUCCACAAGUUCAAGGAGUUGACUACGAUGAGAUUUGCUCAUCCGCAGCGAUGCUUGGGUCCGUCGGAAUCAUGUAGGCAUUAGCUGCAUUUAUGAAAUCUGGCAGAUGGAUGUCAAAACAAGUUUCCUUACCAGUUUUCGUAAGGAAAGGUUGUAUGUGAUACAAUCAGAAAGGUUUUGUCGAUCCUAAGGAUGCUAAAAGGUAUGCUAGCUCCAGCGAUCCUUCUAAGGACUGGAGUAAGCAUCUCGGAGUUGGAAUGUACGCUUUGAUGAGAUGAUCAAAGAUUUUGGAUUUAUACAAAGUUUAUGAGAAAUUUGUAUUUCCAAUAAAGUGAGUGGGAGCGCUACAACAUUUCUGAUAAGUAUAUGUGAAUGACAUAUUGUUGAUCCGAAAUGAUGUAAAAUUUCUGGAAAGCAUAAAGGGUUGUUUGAAAGGAGUUUUUCAAAGGAAGACCUGGAUAAAAGCUACUUACAUAUUGGGCAUCAAGAUCUAUAGAGAUAGAUCAAGACGCCCGAUGAUACUUUCAAAGAACGCACACCUUGACAUGAUUUUGAAAGAGUUCAAAAUAGAUCAGCAAAGAAGGAGUUCUUGGCUGUGUUACAAGGUGUGAGUAUUGCGUAAGACUCAAGACCUGACCACAGCAGAAGAGAGAGAAAGGACGAAGGUCGUCCCCUAUGCUUUAGACGUAGGCUCUACAGUAUGCUAUGCUGUGUACCACACAUGAAGUGUGCCUUGCCAUGAGUUGGUCAAGGGGUACAAUAGUGAUCCGGGAAUGGAUCACAUGACAGCGGUCGAACAUAUCCUUAGUACCUAGUGGACUAAGGAAUUUUCUCGAUUAUGGAGGUGGAAAGGAGUUCGUCAUAAAGGGUUACGUCGAUGCGAACUUUGACACUAAUCCGGAUGACUCUGAGUAGUAAACCGGAUUCGUAUAGUAGAGCAAUUAUUUGAAAUGGCUCCAAAUAGCGCGUGGUAGCAUCCACAAAGAUGACAUAGAUAUUCGUAAAGCACACACGGAUCUGAAAGGUUCAGACCCGUUGACUAAUAACCUCUCUCACAAGCAUAACAUGAUCAAACCAGAACUCAUUGAGUGUUAAUCACAUAGAGAUGUGAGCUAGAUUGUUGACUCUAGUAAACUCUUGGGUGUUGGUCCCAUGGUGAUGUGACCUGUCAGUGUUAAUCACAUGGUGAUGUGAACUAGAUUAUUGACUCUAGUGCAAGUGGGAGACUGUUGGAAAUAUGCCCUAGAGGCAAUAAUAAAUAGGUUAUUAUUAUAUUUCCUUGUUCAUGAUAAUCGUUUAUUAUCCAUGCUAGAAUUGUAUUGAUAGGAAACUCAGAUACAUGUGUGGAUACAUAGACAACACCAUGUCCCUGGUAAGCCUCUAGUUGACUAGCUCGUUGAUCAAUAGAUGGUUACGGUUUCCUGACCAUGGACAUUGGAUGUCGUUGAUAACGGGAUCACAUCAUUAGGAGAAUGAUGUGAUGGACAAGACCCAAUCCUAGGCCUAGCACAAGAUCGUGUAGUUCGUUUGCUCAGAGCUUUUCUAAUGUCAAGUAUCACUUCCUUAGACCAUGAGAUUGUGCAACUCCCGGAUACCGUAGGAAUGCUUUGGGUGUGCCAAACGUCACAACAUAACUGGGUGGCUAUAAAGGUGCACUACGGGUAUCUCCGAAAGUGUCUGUUGGGUUGGCACGAAUCGAGACUGGGAUUUGUCACUCCGUGUAAACGGAGAGGUAUCUCUGGGCCCACUCGGUAGGACAUCAUCAUUAUGUGCACAAUGUGACCAAGGAGUUGAUCACGGGAUGAUGUGAGUUACGGAACGAGUAAAGAGACUUGCCGGUAACGAGAUUGAACAAGGUAUAGGGAUACCGACGAUCGAAUCUCGGGCAAGUAACAUACCGAUGGACAAAGGGAAUUGAAUACGGGAUUGAUUGAAUCCCCGACAUCGUGGUUCAUCCGAUGAGAUCAUCGUGGAACAUGUGGGAGCCAACAUGGGUAUCCAGAUCCCGCUGUUGGUUAUUGACCGGAGAACGUCUCGGUCAUGUCUGCAUGGUUCCCGAACCCGUAGGGUCUACACGCUUAAGGUUCGAUGACGCUAGGGUUAUAGGGAAAGCAUGUACGUGGUUACCGAAUGUUGUUCGGAGUCCCGGAUGAGAUCCCGGACGUCACGAGGAGUUCCGGAAUGGUCCGGAGGUAAAGAUUUAUAUAUGGGAAGUCAUGUUUUGGUCACCGGAAAAGUUUCGGGUGAAAUCGGUAAUGUACCGGGACCACCGGGAGGGUCCCGGGGGUCCACCAAGUGGGGCCACCAGCCCCAGAAGGCUGCGUGGGCCAAGUGUGGGAGGGGACCAGCCCCAGGUGGGCUGGUGCGCCCCCCCCACCAAGGCCCAAGGCGCAUGGGAGAGUGGGAGGGGGCAAACCCUAGGUCCAGAUGGGCCUUAGGGCCCAUCUAGUGGGGCGCCUCCCCCUCUCCUCCCCUUGGCCGCCCCCUUGAUGGGAUCUAGGGCUGGCUGCCUCCUCUUGGGGGUGGAAACCCUAAGGGGGGUGCAGCCCCCUUCCCCCCUAUAUAUACUUGAGGUUUGGGCUGCCAUACACACAUGAGAAAGUCUCCUUUUGGUGCUGCCCUACCCCUCUCCCUCCUCCUCCUCUCCCACGGUGCUUGGCGAAGCCCUGCGGGAUUGCCACGCUCCUCCACCACCACCAUGCCGUCGUGUUGCUGCUGGAUGGAGUCUUCCCCAACCUCUCCCUCUCUCCUUGCUGGAUCAAGGCGUGGGAGACGUCACCGGGCUGCACGUGUGUUGAACGCGGAGGCACCGUUCUUUCGGUGCUUAGAUCGGAAUCAACCGCGAUCUGAAUCGCUACGAGUACGACUCCCUCAUCCGCGUUCUUGCAACGCUUCCGCAUCGCGAUCUACAAGGGUAUGUAGAUUCACUCCCCUUCCCCUUGUUGCUAGAUUACUCCAUAGAUUGAUCUUGGUGAUGCGUAGAAAAUUUUGAAUUUCUGCUACGUUCCCCAACAAUGCCUCCCAUAUUGCCAUGUCAAGCCUCUAACCCACCUUUCCUAGCAAACCGUUGUUUGGCUAUGUUUUCCGCUUUUGCUCAGCCCCUCUUAUAGCGUUGCUAGUUGCAGGUGAAGAUGAAGAUUGCUCCAUGUUGGAUUAUGUUUAUGUUGGGAUAUCACAAUAUCUCUUAUAUUAUUAAUGCAUCUAUAUACUUGGUAAAGGGUGGAAGGCUCGGCCUUAUGCCUGGUGUUUUGUUCCACUCUUGCCGCCCUAGUUUCCGUCAUACCGGUGUUAUGUUCCUUGAUUUUGCGUCCCUUACGCGGUUGGGUGAUUUAUGGGACCCCCUUGACAGUUCGCUUUGAAUAAAACUCCUCCAGCAAGGCCCAACCUUGGUUUUACAUUUGCCUCACCUAGCCUUUUUUCCCUUGGGAGUCGCGCUCCUGAGGGUCAUCUUAUUUUACCCCCCGGGCUAGUGCUCCUCGGAGUGUUGGUCCAAACUGGAGCCACUUGCAGCGCCACCUCGGGGAAACUGGAGGGCUGGUUUUAGUUGUACGUAGUGUUCAUCCGGUGUGUCCUGAGAACGAGUUACGUGCGACUCCUAUCGGGAUUGUCGACACAUCGGGCGGCUUUGCUGGUCUUGUUUUACCAUUGUCGAAAUGUCUUGUAACCGGGAUUCCGAGACUGAUCGGGUCUUCCUGGGAGAAGGAAUAUCCUUCGUUGACUGUGGGAGCUUAUAAUGGGUUAAGUUGGGACACCCCUGCAGGGUAUUAUCUUUCGAAAGCCGUGCCCGUGGUUAUGUGGCAGAUGGGAAUUUGUUAAUGUCCGGUUGUAGAGAACUUGACACUUGACUUAAUUAAAACGCAUCAACCGCGUGUGUAGCCGUGAUGGUCUCUUUUCGGCGGAGUCCGGGAAGUGAACACGGCUUUUGGGUUAUGGUUGAUGUAAGUAGGAGUUCAGGAUCACUUCUUGAUCAUUACUAGUUGACGACCGUUCCGUUGCUCCUCUUCUCGCUCUUAUUUGCGUAUGUUAGCCACCAUAUAUGCUAGUGCUUGCUGCAGCUCCACCUCAUUACCCCAUCCUUUCCUAUAAGCUUAAAUAGUCUUGAUCUGGCGGGUGUGAGAUUGCUGAGUCCUCGUGACUCACAGAUACUUCCAAAAUAGUUGCAGGUGUCGUUGAUGCCAGUGCAGGUGACGCAACCGAGCUCAAGUGGGAGUUCGACGAGGACCUUGGUCGAUAUUAUGUUUCUUUUCAUGUUGAUCAGUAGUGGAGCCCAGUUGGGACGAUCAGGGAUCUAGCAGUUGGGUUAUCUUCUUUUCUUUUGGCUUUGACCGUAGUCGGUCUAUGUGUGUACUCUGAAUGUUGUAUGAAUUUUAUUUAUGUAUUGUGUGAAGUGGCAAUUGUAAGCCAACUCUUUAUCCCAUUCUUGUUCAUUACAUGGGAUUGUGUGAAGAUGACCCUUCUUGCGACAAAACCACAAUGCGGUUAUGCCUCUAAGUCGUGCCUCGACACGUGGGAGAUAUAGCCGCAUCGUGGGUGUUACAUACAUCUUCAAUUGUAACAUAGCAUAUGAUCUUUACAACAGAUUCAUUUAGCGAAAACAUAACUCAUCUCACCAUAAGGUGGGACUAACAUUACAUAAUUGGAGUGGACUUAAUAACAUACAAAAUCAUGUCAUCUGUUCGAGAGACAAAAUAAAGUCUCUCCAAUAACUAGGAGCAUGAACAAACAUCAUCAAUAAGAUGCAGAAUUAAUCCAUCUCUAAAUGCUAGUGGAAUAAAUUCAAUAGUUUUGACUUCAACCUCCUUUGCAUUAGUAAUGUGCAUGAUGACACAUGCAACUUAUGAGGACACUCCCAAUGCGUACGUUAACAUCAAGAUUAAAUCCUUCAACAUUAGUGGCAGAAACAUUGGGAGUUUUCUUACACGAGACAAGGAUCUCUACUCUUCACUUGGGAAAGUUAUUUACAUAAAGCUUAUGCCAAAAACAAAGUUUGGCAUCAUUAGUAAAGUUCAUUACUUGAAAAGAGGAGGCAACUAUAUGAACAUCAUAAUAAAAUGUAAGCAUAAAUUAAUCAUGCAAUGAGACGAAUUAAAUACAUGCUUAAUUAUUAUUCCAAUCUGUAUCACCGUUGGGCAGAAAAUAGAAAAGAACCUUACUUAUUUAUAUAUGACACAUGAAAAGUAAUCAACAUUGGUCAGAAUAUCAUCAUAUGCCUUAAUAACAUUUUCUCAUUAAAUAUCUAAUCAAAACUUGUCUUUGGUUCCAUUUUGACUAGAAAAACAUAAAGUCACACAGUGACCAACAAUGACAUUAGCAAUAUUAAUAACAUUCAUUAACACAAGGCAACAGUACAGUCCACUCCAAUGUGUCAUGGGACACAAGGAUUCACAACAUGUUGUAAACAUCUUGUUUUCAAUUUUGACACUUGAUUGACAUUGAAAAUAACAUUAAACCUUAGUGUCAAAAUGAGCAUUAAAAUUCUCAAUGACAUACAAUGAAACCGACACCAGAAUUAACAUAUAAAUAUAAAUGCCAUUGUCAUGGAGUAAACAUUAAACUAGACAUUCGGAGUGAAGAAUGACAGUAAUAUUAUUGUCAAGAAAACAUAACAUUUUCCAAACAAUAAAAUUCGACAUAAAUUUUCAUGAGGAUUCAUAAAAUAACAACAUUUGGCAAAUAGGAGUUGUCAAGCAAAUGACACCAUGUACUUUGUAAAACAAAUUCCCUAAACAAAAUUCCUCUUUCUUUUAGGGGAUUGUCCAUAACUCCAUAAACGUUAUUUUGAAUCUUUAUGCAUAUUUCACGAUGCAUAUCAUAAUGAAAUGGCAUGAAAUGCACCAAAUAGAAAUUUCACUCUUUCCCAAUAGGCAUAUCGCCCCAAUAUCAUUAUGACGCAUAGCAGGGUGCAGAAAACCAAACCAUGCGGCCAUCAACAUUCUCCUUGAGGUGGCCUCAGUCCAUUAGAAAUGAUCACAUCAUUAAGAAAUGCCAUUAGGAUGGCAUCACCAUAUAUUUCACACUCAAAUAAAGUACCCAAUUUUUUUAGAAACUUUAGAGAAUGAAACAUUAUAAAUUGUGAUCAAGAUAAACAUCAUUUUACAAAAUUAAUAUUGAACUUUAAAUGUCAUAAAGAAAAACAUCGUCAUUUAAAAUGCCAUAAAUGACAUUAACAUUAUAGCACAUGACUAUUUUCCAAAUAAAUUCUCAUCGUUCGAUAUUAUUUAGAAAAUUCGAAAAUUAUCUUUAGCAUAAUCUUAGGCAACUAAAACGUAUUAAUGGUGCAUAAACAUUAUCAAUAACUUGGAUCAAAUGCACCAAAAAAAAACUUGCCUAAGACAUUAUUUGACCCGUAUGAACCCACGACAGUCCUUGAUAAAACUUUAUAAUCUUCAAGGUAAGUCUCCACUUUCUGAUAUAACAGUGAAUAAACAAUCAAAAACAAAACUUAAAUCUUCUCUGAAGAUUCAGAAGUGCCCAUAUCGUAAUUCGGCUCAAAGCCCGAACUGGCCCACAACAGUUUCCCACGUGCAGAGAAGAAAAAAAGGAAUAUUGCAGGAUGAUACAACCUGGGCUAAAGCCUGUUGCCGAAAACGGCCCAAAUACUAAGCAGAUCCAUGACAAUUCCCUUCAUCUCGUGUCCG